GGAUUUUGUUGGGCAGUGUGACGAGCUAUGUGUUGUCAAAUGUAUCAUGCCCUGUGACCAUUGUCAAGGAUCCAGACUUCAAACCUUGACAGACUUCCUGGAAAGAUAAAAUCAAGUGCCAAAAUUUUCAAGGUGUGAAGAUUCCUUGUGCUGGGAGAGAGGAGUCUAGUAAUGGACUUGAAAUAAUUUGAAAGUAGUUAAUUAACUUGCUCUUGUUGAAGCAAGUUGCACCUUCUAUAUACAAUACGUUUUGAACUGUGUGCGAAUUGUCAGAAUAAAUUGAGUGAUGUGUAGAUGAUGUGCAUCUUUUAGUUGUUUAGCAUAUCUCAUAAAUCUCUCAUCUUUUCUUUUUAAAUUACUUUCAGUUUGAACUACAUAUCUGAUCUGGAAUAAUUUGUGGUGUUGUAUACACGCAACUUGGAAGAAAGAGCCACAUAUCACCAUUGUUUUUUAUUACUGUGACAAAAUGCUAUGUAGCUGGCGCACUCGAUAUUUUUCCUGUCUAUUGUUUAGCAAUACUUUUGCGAUCACGAGACAUGGAGUGGAUAACUAAUUUUGUAUUUUUUCUAGUUUCAAAUUAUAUUUAAAGUCAUUUCUGAGUGUGUUUUGUGGUUUCUAUUAGGUGACUCUUUGAUUCAUAAGUUUCCUGUAGUCGGCGUUGGAUGAUCAAAAUUUUCAGAAGCCAGUUGAGCACGUUAAGUCUAAGCAAUUAAAGAUAAGUAAUGGAGUCAUGCCUCCAACAGAUGUAUAUCUUGUCUUCUGGUUUGGGACAAUACCUAACAAAAAAAAUCAAAAGAUUUGCAACAUUUCUUUUGCGUUGCAAAUCACAAGUUUGUGCAUCUGGUCAAUUGCAAGGAGUUAUCGAGGUUGCCCAACAUAGAAAGAUCUUAGGGGGUGCUUGGUUUGGCUACUGAUCCGAAUGGAGAUUAGAAUAGGAAUUGGAAUGCUACAUGCUUUGAUGUCUUUGGUUUACGAUGAGAAUCAAGAUUGGAGUGGAAGUGAAAUACUAUGGGAGAGUAGAAAUUUAAUUUAGGAAGAUUGAGAUAUUCUCUUUUUUUUUAAAAUUGAAAUGAAAAUAGGAUUUUUCUAACUAAAUAGUUGAAAUGAGAGUUACUCACUUAUAUUUUCAUUUUGGAGUCUAGCUUCUUGCAGAUUCAAAUCCCUAUUAGAUUUUAUGGGCUCCCAAUUUCAUUUUUCCCAUGGCAAGGAGGCGAAUAGGCACCAACUUGUAGCAAAUGAAAAUUGGCACUCAAACUUAGUGUUGCAGAUGGAUGAGGCCAAGUUCCCAAACAAUAAAUCAAGUCUCAGUGAUGUUGCUACUUUCUUGGUGGUCAGUGUUUUUUGAGAGAAGUUUGGCGUCGAUUCGCUUGGUGGCUCCCCUAUCCUUCCCGGUGCGUGCAGAUUCCUCGUGUGAUUGCUUUUGGCUGCCGAUCCGUUUGGUUCUCAACGGUUGGUCGAUCUCGACCUGGGAAUGACGCUGUCCGAUGUCAUUCUCAGCUCGAGUCUUGGUUUAUCUUAAUUCGGGUACGUUCAUAUUUUUCAUGGGUCGGUACGAUGGAGAACCGGUGACCAAAUAACCCACGUCGAUAUAACGUUUAGCCUGGCAGGAGGGAGAUGGCUCGAUUUAUUUCAAUUUUUGAACCCCAGAGGUAGAAAAAAUAUUUUGUCCCUAUUCCAAUCCAAAGACUGAAUCGUCUUCCCUGCGCUCUUCUACGAUCUCAAUCUUCUCUGGCACCGACAAACAGGGCACUCGUGUCUCUAUGCAAUGUCCAUUCUUGCGCGCAUUCAGUAAUACGUCUCUUUCUUGAAUUGAAGUUUGUGCAACUAUUUCCAUAAUUUCUGGAUGGCUGAUAUUUCAUUCGUUAUUUUAGAUUCAUGUUCUCCCUUCUCUUUUUGAUUAGUUUUUUUAAGGUGAGGUGGGGAUUCUUACAAGAUAAAUAUGAUUUCAAUAUAUAGUGCUUUUAAAUAUCCUUACAUCAGUGGUAGGAUACUUGAUGACUUUGGAGAAGUGUCUCGGUGCACCGAACACUCAUUGCAUUUUUCUUUGGCGCACAGACGACGCACCAUUACUCCCACAGGUUUGUUGCCGUCACUUCACCAUCAUUACUGGCAUUCUAUAUUUCCUUCUCGUUGAGCAAACUGUUGGGAAUUCCUCCUCUCAUUUGAAAUUGUAUGAUUUGCACGAAUAUUAGGGCCUGAUGAAAAUUUUUUUGGAGUAGUGUUUGUGACUCAGACUAUAAUGAAAAAUGGUCCCUUUUCUCUAAGUAUCAAAUUUGCUCUAUGUAACUUUGCACCCACUGAAAUUUUGCUCAUCCAAGAAGGUAGUUUCAUCCUUGAUGAGCAGGUAUUAAUUACUGCCAUGAAUAGUAGAUUUCCUGCCGUCCUCCAUAAGGAUACCUUUUCACUAUUAUUAGUUUUUUAUGCUUACAUAAUGAAAGCUGCAACCAUCGAAAGAAGCACCACCAUGUGCUGCAGUCAAUGGGCGGUCCAAUCCAAUUCUCCCAACUUUGGGUUCGUGGGGUCCAUAACGUUUCUUUCUAUGUCAGCUUCCAUAUCAAGUAGAUCACUUGGACGAUGGUUUGGUUAUGUCCGGUGCCCCCACUUUGUCAUGCUGUGCCUCAUCAAACUUAUGGUCCUGAUGGAGGAUGAAAUGGCCUGGUUGGCACUUUUCAUGUUCUUCUAUUUCACCUAUCAAGGUCAUACCACUUGGUCCCCAAGGGGAUCAAAUCAUCCGGGAUUUGGCGAUGUAGAGAGAAGAAAUAGAAGUUUAUUGCUGCCACGCGAUCUACUAUUGGUUCUAAGUUUUAAACCUGGUUGUUUAUCCUACUCUAAUAUAAGUGCAGCUAGUAGAAUCAAGAGCAAUAAUCUGGCAUACUUAUGAAGAAGGAAUUUCUGGUGUGUUCAAAAAAUCUUUUCAGAAUGCUCAAUAGCAUAGGAAGCUGAUAGAUGAAGGAGUCUCUUCACUUAUGUACCAUAAAAAUGAAGGUUUAGGAGAGGAGAAGAUUUAACUAAUGCCUGUCACAGAGAAAUCGACCGUCACGUCAAUCUUCUUUAAAAUAAAGGUAGUCUCCACAUGAUGAUGAGGUUUUGCAAGUCAACCCAACUAGGAGUUUAGGAGGGGUUACCAUGGUCAGUGAGAUUUCUUAUUUUCUUAAUCUUAGUUUUCAAAUGACAAAGAUAAAGAAAGUCUGGCAAGCUUGUGACCACCCUAACGUUCAAAAGCAGCAUUUUGAAUGUCGAAAAAAAAAAAAAAGGUCCGUUCUUUCAGGCUAGGUAACGGCUAGAAGAAGUUGGUGGGCCUGGUGAGGAACAACCCUUGGUCCUUCAAAUUUUGUUCCAACCAUUCCAGCCUUUUGUACUGCUAACCACUAUCGCAGCAGCGACGUACUACUAACCGGUCUCAAGGACUCCACUCUACUGGUGCUAAUCAGUCGGAGGUUGCAACCACUGGCAUCAUUAAAUCUAUGCUUUCUUGAGGGAGAUUGUACAUAGGGAAGACUGCAAAGGCCUAUUCAAAGCGAAGAUAAUUUAUUUGCUGAUUUGUGACAGCUCAACUGAUUUCUCGAUUUCUCCCCAACCAUAAGGCCCUAAUUGCUCAUUGUUCCUGCCUUUUCCAACCAUUAGAGUUGAUUACAACUAAUAUAUGUUUUAAGAAAUAUCUUAGAGACCCAUAAAAUAACUCCUGGAGAAACAGACCAUUUGCAUGGCUCUCUUUUUGUUGAACAGGAAUUAGCGUUGUCCAUUUUGGAAGCCUAGGAGGCUGAAUUAUUGCUCUGUUUGAAAACCCAAAACCGCCAGAUAGAACCAGUUCAGCUCUCAAAAGGUGGGUGUUCUGAGAUAGUACGGACGUGUGGCUUUGAAGUUGGAGCCCGGCAUCCAUUCUAAAGAGACUUUCAUCUGAAGUUUAACUGGGAGAGCACACCCUUAAAAAAAAUAUGAUAGGAGAUAAAUGGAGGAAUGCUUUAGUGUUUUCCUUUUUCACAUAUUUUGGAAAUGAUUAUAUUUAUUAGUGAUACCAUAUGAAGAAUUAUUCCAAUAAAUGUACCUCUCAUAUUCCAAUAGUUGCAGAUUUUGAAGAUGCCCCAUCGAGCCUAGAAUCAAUCGAACGACUAAAAAUUUUGUCAAGUGGCAAAAUGUGCAUAGAUAAAUAACCUUAAGCAAAUCAAGCAACAUGUCUUUCCAUUUCCUCAUUGAAAUGCCAACAUGUGAUUAAACGCAAACGUAUUGUGUUUUGAAAUUUUAAAAACAAACAGUUGGAGAAUAAUGUCUGCAUUAAUGGUGCUAGUCAAAAGUAGCCUCAUAGUAGAUUUUAUAACAAGAUGAUGCAGUUUCUCUACGCAAUAUCUAUCCUUGUUGUAAUUGUUUACAUUAUUCCAUCAUGAGAACAUAUUGUUGAUAAUUAGAGAUCGUUGCUCGCACCAUUGCUAAGAUGUGGGGACGGCAUGAGGACAGGGACUGCUGCUCAUCAACGUAGCGUGGAUUUGGGUGCCAUGGAAAGGUGGUGGGGUCGCACCUUUGACGCUUUUCUCACAAGCCAACGGCUCUACCAUGCAUGAUCUCACUCUAACGGGUGGGUACUCUUCCUACCAUCCUUCUUCAAAACUUUACCAUCCCUAUUUUAAUUUUGAAACUGGGCUUCGUCUCUUUCCCUCCCCUUCCUGAAAAGCAGGGAUAAAAAGGAGGAAGCCGUUAAAUAGAGAAAGAAAGAGAGGAGAGAUGGGAAGAGGGGAUAAAAAAAUGGAAAGACGCAUUCCAUUGCCGUGAACUUCCCUUGAUAGCCUCACCAUUUAAUAGCCGUUAGAGUAGAAUUUCAAAAAAACAAAGGACUAAGGAGAGCUUCACCGCCACUCCAUUUCCCCUGAAGAUAGUUCAAGUGUUAGAGCGGGCGAGCGAGCGAGCGAGCAAGCAAGCGCCUGCAAUCAUGGCCAUCCUCAACCUCCCUUAGAAAAAUAUAUGAGGAAGCCCCCACAAGCCCUUCUCCCUGCCCCCUUGUUUUCUCCUUCGGAAAUGAUCGCCUUAAUCUAAUGGAGAGACCCCGCUUUCACCAACCAGAGGACCCCAAGAAGCACUACUGUCUUUCGUUAGCCACCUGCGGAGCCUCCAACCUCAUCCCUCUUUCCCUUUUUCGGCUUCUGGCUCUCUACUAGAUUGCUCCGAUUAAGGGACGAGUGCGGCACCGGGUAGCUUCUCUCUAUUUGAGGGAACAGGUGGUGCUCAGAAUGGAUGAUGGAAAGGAGAAGGGUGGUGUUGGCGAUCAUGGUCAUGGGUCGGAAGAUAUUGGGGGAGAGGGCGAGUCCUUUAGCGACUCGGCGGAAGAUGAGUGCCAUGGGAGCAGUUCGAGCUCUGAGACUUCGUCCAGUGAAGAGUCACGAGGCCUUAGCAGUUCCGAGGAAUCAUCCAAGAAGCAUUCGGCAUCGUUGGGUUGGCCAAUGCAGAACCGCAAAACCUCUGAAAUAAUAGGCAAUGUGGAGAAAAGUCGUGAGGAAAAUAGUGGAAUGGAUAAGCUGAAGCCCAACAUUUCAGGUAUUGAAUCUUCUUUCAUGCAUGUUUUCCUUUCCCCCUUCAUUAUCUCUUUGUAACAAAUAGUAAUACCGAUCAAAUAGAUGAAUGGCACUAACUUAGAUUUUUUUUUUUUUUUUUAGAUCUUUUUCUUUGCCCUCACAUGGCUUUGUCAUCAUUUUUUUUAAAAAAGAAAUUUUGUUUUAUGUUUGGUUUCGGAUCCUCAAUCAACAGUUAGUAAAUCUCGUUUAUGUAUUAUUGUUGUCAUUUAUGUAUGUUUUAUGUAUUAUUGGUGUCAAUAUGGACUGCGCUAUCAUGGUAAAUGUGCAUGUCCUCAACCGUACUGGUUUAGCUGAAUGAAGAGUUAUGUUUUGGGGUUCUCUUCUGUAUUCCAGUAGAUAUCGAGAUGAUGAAGGAGAGGUUUGCCAAGUUGUUGCUUGGAGAAGACAUGUCAGGCUCUGGGAAAGGGGUCUGCACCGCAUUGGCCAUUUCGAAUGCUAUAACUAAUCUCUGUGGUAAGUUUUGAUAGUUCCCUGGUUUUUUUGGUUGCAUUCGUUUAUAACUAAAAUUUUGUUUGCUGAAAUAAAUUCUAUGAGCCUCAACUAAAACGUUCCUGUACCUUCUGUCCUAUUACAGCCACUCUCUUUGGGCAGCUUUGGAGGUUGGAGCCUUUACCUCCCGAGAAGAAGUCAAUGUGGCGAAGAGAAAUGGAGUGGCUUCUCUGUGUUAGCGAUCACAUAGUCGAACUGGUACCCACUUGGCAAACAUUUCCUGACGGAAGCAAGCUGGAGGUGAUUACUGUUCCCGAAGCUCUGUAGGGAUUAAAAUUGCCUUUGCAUCCAUGCAUUUGGCUAUCUGUUGCAUCUGUUACUUCACCACGCAUGAGUCUGUUUCUUAGGUGGGUUGGGUUGACUCUCACUGGAAUGCUCGCUCACUGUUCUCAAUUAUUCAUCAUGUCAAUCAAAUCUAACUGUUACAAAAAAAUUUCAUCUGUGUGCGUAUGUGCGUACAUGUAUACAUAUGUUUAUAUCGAAGUCAAUGCCUGGUUGGUUCCUUGGAGGUGUUCUCAGUUGUUUUGUUAUAACUCACUAGUCUUGAAUAGAUGCAUAAACGGUGCAUGGUUCUUGAUUUUUAUUUCAGGUCAUGACUUGCAGACAACGAUCUGACCUAUAUGCCAAUCUUCCAGCACUGCGCAAACUAGACAAUAUGCUUCUUGUGAGACUCGAUGCUGCUUCCUGAUUCUUAAUCUAAACUCGAGUGAGGGUCAUGAUUCUUAUCGAGAAUUUACGCUUCGCAGGAAAUAUUGGACAGCUUUAGUGAUACAGAGUUUUGGUAUGCCGAUCAAGGAGUGCUUGCAAACGAGUCUGAUGGGUCGGCCUCUUUCCGUGGAACUCUUCGUCGUCAAGAAGAGAAGUGGUGGCUGCCUGUGCCUCGUUUACCUCCUGGCGGUCUCCAUGAGAAGACGAGAAAGCAAUUGCAGCACAAACGUGAGUGCGCAAACCAAAUCUUGAAGGCUGCAAUGGCUAUCAACAGCAAUGCUUUGGUUGAAAUGGAGGUUCCUGAGUCGUAUCUCGAGUCCCUUCCAAAGGUAUAUGCUGCUUAUCUCUCGUACUUCUAAAGCAAGGCCUACUCUCAAUAAAUAAUGAUCAGAAUUGAGCUCCAUUGCCGCCGUCGAUUUACAGCAACAGCGAAUGGAUAUAUCUUUUCUACUUGUAUGAUCAUAGUAUUGUGGCAUAACGUCUCCCUUCAUUUUGAAUAUUUGUAUAGCUUUCUACAUGUCAUGAACCCUGAUGUUUGUUAUUCGUUUGUUCUUGGUCCGCAGAAUGGAAGAGCAUGCCUAGGCGAUGUGAUAUAUCGCUAUAUCACUUCGGAUCAAUUUUCCCCUGAAUGCCUUCUCGAUUGCCUUGAUUUAUCCUCCGAGCACCAAGCUCUAGAGAUUGCCAAUCACGUCGAGGCAUCAAUUUAUGUAUGGCGUCGGAGAACGUUUGCCAAAUCUACGAAUAAUACAAAUCGAACCAACACUAGAUCAUCAUGGGGUAUGGUCAAGGAUAUCAUUACGGAUGCUGAGAAAAGAGAGUUGCUCGCUGAUAGAGCCAAGUGCCUCUUGCUAUGUUUGAAGCAGAGGUUCCCUGGUCUGACACAAACAACCUUGGAUAUGAGCAAAAUCCAAUUCAACAAGGUUUGUCUUCCUCCCUUGCUUUGAACGCGGUUUAUGCUUGCAUGAAGACCUUUCGGAUUGUGAAUGGCUUUUGCGAUGAUCCAACUUUCAGGAUUUUGGAAAAUCCAUUCUGGAAAGCUAUUCCAGAGUCUUGGAGAGCCUCGCGUACAACAUUGUUGCUCGCAUUGAUGACCUGCUUUGUGCUGAUGACUUGACCAAACAUUCGGACCAGUAUUCGUCAUCGAUUCACGCAGUUGGUGUCGCUUCUCACAAGAAAGUCCCAGUUCCAUGCUUGGUGCCCGUCUCAGGCACUCCAUAUGCGACUGCUUAUGCCACACCAAGCUUCUUGCCCACACCUUCAAUGAGUCCAGUGCUGGGAGAGAGGUCUCCAUUGAUCAGCAGAAAGUCUCAUACUCGUGGAUAUGGCGUGAAGAAAGUUCUGACAAAUUAUCUCGGAGUUGAGGUGAAGGGAAAAGAGACUAGCAGCAGAGCUGAGGUAUCAGCACCGAUUUCAGGCGUCAGUCUAGAAGCCUGAGCGAGCUUCUCUUUCACAAAACAAUAGGGACUCGGAAAGCCGGCAGGACCUCGCUAUAUUAAUUAAUUAGGUCGUUGACUUGCCAUAAGAUUCGAGGUGAUCUUGUGAAAAAGAAGAUUAUGAUGAUGGUUCUCACGAGGGUUGCAAAAACAAAUGCUAUCCUGACAAUUUCGUAUUCCACUAAGCUAGCUCAGCAUCUGGUGUGCUGUUCUUGUAGUGAUUGAUGAGCAGUGUUAUUAUUUACACAUCACAAGGUUUUUGUAACAGUUUCCAAUAGUAUUUGCUUGAUUUUUUUUUUAUUAAUAGGAAUUGUAUCUUUUGCAGCUGUACGUGUGUCGCAUUUUAUAUAAAAUUUACGUUACGUUGGAAAUUGUCAGUGUCUUGGAUUUGUUUUACAGUGCUGGUGGUUCAAUUAUCUGAAGCUUUUUUUGGGGGCAUUCAGAUGCGAGAUAGCUUGAUGAUGAAAUUAAUAGACUUUUAUCUUAACGAGCCUACUUUCACUCUUUACUACCUUAAAGUUUCUUGCAUAAUACCUUAAGUCUAUACUUUGUUUUUUUACUGGCAACUGGUUCACUUAAAAAGAAGUCCAUAUAGAGGAUUUAUGGACAUGGAAAAGGAGUUCAAGAAGCAGAUAUAUAAUAUAUAUAUUUGCUGCCACACAGAUGGCAUGUCUACAAGAAGCAGAAGCUUAAAGAAGCUGAAAAGUGGAGGACAACAAUAAUUACAACAAUGGGAAUGGAGUAGGUGACCUCGCUCGAACCAUUCUGUUGAGAGAUAGUGCUGCAACAAAGGAAAAGGAGUUCAAGAAGCAGAUAUAUUAUAUAUAUAUUUGCUGCCACCCAGAUGGCAUGUCUACAAGAAGCAGAAGCUUAAAGGAGCUGAAAAGUGGAGGAUAACAAUAAUUACAGCAAUGGGAAUGGGGUACGUGACCCCGUAGUGCCGAGUCCAUUAAGGCUGUAUGGCUUAUGAGGUGGCAUGGCAGUCAUCUAUCACGACGAUUGAUGACUCCGGGAGUUCAUCAGUAUAUAUAUACCCAAGCAAACAGGCACGGUUUGUGCAAAGUAUUAGUGAGAGAUGGAGGCCUCAAGGAAGUAUCUCUGCCUUCUUGGAUUGUUUCUGCUUGCAGGGGCGGUAGGAUUGGAGGGUGUUGAUGGAGCUGGGGAAUGUGGGAGGGUUCCUGCGGAUAAGAUGGCUCUGAGGAUGGCUCCCUGUGCGUCGGCAUCGCAUGAUGCUCGCGCCCCGGUUUCAGCUCAAUGCUGCUUGGUGGUGCAGAAGCUGGGCAAGAACCCAAGAUGCCUCUGUGCUGUGAUGCUCUCAAACACUGCAAAGAGAGCUGGAGUCAAGCCGGCGAUAGCAAUGACGAUCCCCAAACGGUGCAGACUUGCACACCGCCCUGUGGGUUACAAAUGUGGAGGUAGGUUGAGUGUUCUCAUGAUGCUCCUUCUAUACUUUCUUUUUUCUUCUUUCCAUCAAAUUCUUUGUGGUUUUCCUGAAAGAAACCAACCUUUGCUUGCAGGUUAUACCUUGCCUUAAGCAUCGAGAAGUUGAGGAAAAACGGAUCACUGUGGAAGAAUAGUGGAAGUAUUUCUAGCUGCCAGUUUGUUGGAUAUGAUGUUUUGAGCUCAUCUUGGACUAUAUGAUGGUGGACUAGUUGUAAUAUGCUGCUGGUAGUGUGUGAACCAUGAAGCAUGUAUAUCCUAAUAAAUCUAAUAAAUAAAUAAGUUAUUGAUGUGUUGAAUGAAGCUGCAAAUUUUUAUGCAUGAUUUUGGCUGCACUUUUGGUGCAGUUUAGUAUGUCAAAUGCAGCCCGAUCACUUUCUGCCGGAGGAACGAAAAGGAAAGUAAUGCACUUUAACAAUUUGUUCCCUGAUACAAGUCCAACUCACAUCAAACUGAAACUCAAACCAUCAAAUAUUGCGAGCAGUCUGUCGAACAUUUCAAAGAGAGUAGGUCAUGAGGGAUAUACUUACCUGGAACCACAUUUCCUUUCACAGAAAAUGAAGACAAAUUUCCGAUUAAUGUUACUUUAUGUGCACACUUGUAAAUCGUUCCUGGUUUUGACCGCUUCGAGCCACCCAACAUUGCUAGGGUUCUCUUCACUUAGUUUCACCGAACGUACCACUAAUUUUCCCUCGAGUUUUGGUUUUGAUUUUUCUUUCCCCCAUAAAUGUAACCUUCGUUUGGAAAAAAAAAAUGGAACUAUGUGAAGGCUCUCUUGUUCCUUCCACAUUUGUCUUCUGAUUCAGGCUUGCAUGAGGGAGUAAUUGUUGGGUAGAUUAGCCACCACCGUCUCAUGGCCUUAAUUUAAUCUCAAGUUAUAUAAUAGAUUGCCUUCAGUGAAGUGGUCGGACAUCACUUUGGAACAUUUAGUAGGCAUUUGGCGCUAUGCAUAUGGCUUUUAAAAUUAAACGAAGAUUACGGGCAUCACCAUCCCUGUUUUUCUGAAGCAGGAUAUUAAGAAGACUAAGAUGGUGUCAUCUUCUUGCAUUACAAAAGUAACUUCAUCCCUUGCCGGCUACAGGACUGCGGCUGCGGCAUGUGGUUUUACAUAUCUAAAGGGACAAUUCAGGUUCGGGUCAAAACGAAUCAGGUCAAGAUUGGAUUGACCUAAUUCCGAUCCGAAAAAUAAAACAGGUUCAAAUUUAGGAUCCAGCUCAGCCCCGUGGGUCCUAAAAUUCGGAUCGGAUCAGAUCUAUAUGGGUCGGGUCGGGUCAUGGGUCAACCCGACCCAUUUGCAGUUACCAAGGAACCAAAUACUAUUAUUAGUUCUCUUUUCAAUUUGGAGGUGUGAUACAAUUUUCUGUAUUUUUAUUUAAUUACCUGGUGUAUGUUUGUUCAUGGUUUGGAAGCAUUGGAAGCACCAAUGAGGUCAAUGGGCAGUGGGGACAACUCCGCUCAAAACAAGAAAAAGAAAGGAAAAAAAAAUGUAAAACACGAUCUUGACCGUAAAACCUCGAAGGAAAUUUAACAAAGAGGUUGCUUAUGAUGGUUUCGAACCUAAAUCUGCCUAAAAGCCAGCACUAUGCACAUGCGGAUGAUUCCACAAGUCAAAUAGCAUACCCCGUAUUUAGUCUUGGGUCUUGUAACUAAGAUCGACUCCUUUUUCUUUCAUUUGAGAUCUCAUUCAUCUCCAAGUUUGUUUCCUCAUUCGGUCCCUCCCCUCCCCUCCCCUUCCCUUCCCUUUGUAGCUAGCGCUCAACCAUGGCAAAGGAUCAUCCCACCUUCUCCUCCAAUUUCUACCAGCUCUGCUGCUUCCUCUUCGUCUUUUCCGCACUAACGCCCAUGUCUUUCGUAUAUUGGUCUCGGUGCUUUGCUCCCUGUAAAACUGAAUCUGCCAUCGCGCUACCAAAGCAGAACCAAACUUUUGAUCUCCUUGCCUACCCUUCUGCAUGGAACCACCUCUCCUUCUCUCCCGGUCCGCCACCCAGGCUCCUCAAGAUAGCUCUCUUCGUGAAGCGAUGGCCGCGUCGGAGUCUUGCCGGAGGCCUGGAACGACACGCUCUCACCCUCCAUCUCGCCCUCGCCCGAAGAGGCCAUGAGAUCCAUGUCUUCACAACCUCAUCAAGCUCCGCCUUUCCAGACUACCCCGAUGCCAAGAUAAAAUUCCACGCGACCCCGCCAAGUCCCGCCGGUUACCUCAACCAGGCUCUGGCAUGGGAGCGAUUCCGCGUCCAGAAUACCACGGGGAAACCCUUCGACAUGAUCCAUACCGAAAGCGUCGGCCUCUUGCACGGCCGUGCCCGUAAUCUCAGCCAUCUUGCUGUUUCCUGGCAUGGUAUAGCCUACGAAACCAUACAUUCCGACAUCGUCCAAGAUCUCCUCCGUGGUCCGCAAGAGCCUCGUCCCUCCGUAUUUACAGAAAGAGUCGCCAAGGUGGUUGAUGAAGUCAAGUUCUUCCGCGACUAUGCCCACCAUGUAGCUACGAGCGAUCAUGUCGGAGAUGUCCUCAAGAGAAUAUAUAUGAUUCCAGAAGAACGAGUUCACAUAAUUGUAAAUGGUGUCGAUGAAGAUACCUACAAACCGGAUGCAGCAAGCGGUAGGGAGUUCCGGAGGAAGGUCGGGGUCCCCGACAGCGCGACUCUAGUAGUAGGACUGGCGGGGAGGUUGGUGAAGGAUAAAGGCCAUCCAUUGAUGUUUGAAGCACUGAAGCAGGUCUUCAUGGAGAAUGCGAGCUUCCAAAGAAACGUCUACGUCCUGGUUGCUGGAGACGGACCAUGGGGUAAUAGAUACAGGGAGCUUGGACCAAAUUUACUUGUUCUGGGUCCUUUGGAGCAGAAACAAUUGGCCAGCUUCUACAACUCGCUCGAUGUCUUCAUUAAUCCGACGCUCAGAGCGCAGGGGCUGGACCAUACCUUUAUCGAAGCGAUGCUUUCAGGUGUAUCCGUGAUGGGCACACGGUUUGCCAGCAUCACAGGCUCUCUGAUCGUGGGGCCAGAGAUCGGCUACACGUUUUUGCCGACGGUCGAUUCACUCAAGAAGUCCUUGAACAGAAUUCUGGGAGAUGGAAGAGGGGUGCUCGCGAAGAAAGGUGAGGUUGCGAGAAACAGAGCACUGCAGCUAUUUACUGCGGCAAAGAUGGCGGCAGCUUAUGAGAGGCUCUUCCUGUGCAUCUCUAAAGGCGCUGAAGUAAAAGAUAAUAAUGAUUACUGCAAAUACCCACUUCCACGGGACCGAUGGAGGUGAUAUUGCUCAAUCCAUUUGGAUGGGCGGUAGUUAGUGCUACAAUAAACAAACUGUAGUUGAUAUGGUGCUGCCUCCAUUAAGGUUAUAUGCGCUGUGAGAUGGCAGUCAUCUAGUGUUUUGGAUAAUGUCUUCUAGGAGCUCAUCUAGUUAUAAAUACCCCAUUGUCGAUCAUGUUUUUGUGCAUUGAAGAGCGAGAGAUGGAAGUUGCAAUGAAGUACCUCUGCAUUCUUGGAUUGCUUGUGGUUGCCAGUAUCGCUGGGUUGGAGAGGGCCAAUGGAGCUGGGGAAUGUGGGAAGGUUCCUGUGAACAGAAUGGCCUUUCGGAUGGCUCCGUGUGCAUCAGCAUCACAAGAUGCCGAGGCCCAGGUUUCGAGUACGUGCUGUGCAGAGGUGCAGAAGCUAGGCCAGAACCCAAGUUGCCUCUGUGCUGUUAUGCUGUCGGAUACUGCAAAGAGUGCCGGAGUCAAGCCUGAAGUAGCAAUCACAAUUCCCAAGCGGUGCAACCUGGCAGAUCGCCCUGUGGGAUACAAAUGUGGUGGUGAGUUUUGAGUACUGUAAUGUUUUAUUUUCUCUGCUUUUCUCCCAUCAGAUUCGUUUCACGUUCUCCUCAAAACGAUCUGUCUUACGUUUGCCUGCAGCGUAUACCGUGCCUUGAAGAACAGAGGGUUGAAGGAAGACUGGCGACCGCUACUAGUAGCUUCUGGAGUAAUGCCUAUGAUGCUGUAUCUCCUGUUGGCAUAAAUAUGAUGUUGAAAAUGCCAUAUGGUGUCAGACUUGGUGUAUGGACAUAGUAAAUAAAUGGUUGCUUGCUGUGUUGAGACUCGAGAGUAGUCUUGGCUCUUGUUCUGGUGAUGAAGUUGUUCAAUUUUAUCAUCGUGUUAUGAAAUAAAUGCAUCUAAGUUCUGUUUCAAGUGAUGAGUUUGGUGAUCACCUACCUGAUACGUAGUAGAUGAUUCGCAAGAAUUUAUUACGAUCAAUCCAAAUAUACUCUCACAUGUGUUCUAAACUUCCACAGGUCAAUGAUUCCUCGUGCUUUAUAAACCACAGCUUUGUUUAUAUUUUUCACUGCCUUCGGCUGAGUUUAAACAAUUUUAGUGCGUCGUAUUCUGCUUUAGAAACAUCUAAAUCUGAAGGCGUUCUAAAUCGACGAGGAGCGUCAAACUUAGCAGCUAUCUUGGGUUUCAAAUAAUAUGUUUGUGAUGCCUGUGGAUACAAAAAACAUCAAUUUUACAUCCUCCUCACCCUCUCAGGAUUGCUAUUUUUUUUUAGGUAAUGUCCUCAAGGUGGAAUCGUCCAGGAUAACUUCCCAGUAGAGUCUAAAAGUUGAAAGGGGAUCCUAGCAGCACAGUACAUUAAACAUGUUAAGACCACACAAAAGUAUAGAAAUAGGUCCACGGCACCACUCUAAUGCUAUUUCAUUGGGGAAAUCAAUGUCUGCCCCACGGAUUGAUUGCCAUUUUAUGUUUAAUCCUUGAAAGAAAAUUUUUAUGGCUGAUCCCUUGACUUCGAUGGCAAUGUUGUGUUUCAUCAUCCCUUGCUGGUAUGUUUGAACAAAACAAGCCUUUGUACAGAAACAAGAAAACUUCUAUGUACAAGUAUGAAACAUAAAAUACUGCAUAAAUAAGUAAAUUAAGCAGGCAGCCAUGAAAAAAAAAGACGUUUACGUAUCCCCUCCGUCCCCAAACUGCAUCUUCCUCUUCUCCUCUGAUUUUUUUUUUUCAAUAAAUUUCGUAGCCAUAAAAUGCAGCAGGCCGAGCUCAAGGUAGAAUCCACGAGAGACAUGUUUGACGUCCAUCCCACAAAGCAAGGACUUGCUACAGCUCUAGAUUGUCCUGCAAGGCUUCAUAUAUAGAUUAAAGAACAAAGGAUGCUUGCUGUAAUCUGAUGAUCCGGCAUGCUGAGGGUAAACAGGCACACAUAUUUCAUCUUCUUAAUUAAAUCAACAAAAACCUGACAUAAUCAUUAUAAGCAACGGAUUCAUAGACACAUUGAAUUAGACUAAUUUUCUUUGUAUAGGCCAUACAACACAAACUUAUAGAAUCUACUUAAUAUUAUAUAAUUAUAUAUUAAAAGCAUACAUAAUUAAGUGGCCAUUCAUCCUCGUUACAAUUGAAGCUGGAGGGAUGAAGGCCUAGUAUAGUUUACUGACAAGACAAAGUCCAAAACAAGAAAACCUAUCCAGGUUUCAGGUCUGCUGCUUCAUUAAGUAUGAACAGUCUUUGCAACUUUCCACCCUAAGAUAUAAACAGUGAAAAAAAAAACUGAUUGUUUGGUUCGUCAAAGCUGAUGCUUCUAGUAACAAAACCAAAUACAAGUUUCACUACUAGUUGGACGACAUAGCAGCCAUCUUUAACAGCUUCCUGAAAUACCUGUUAGCAAGGUAUGUGAUCUCUGAAAAUUAGAAAAGCUUACCAAAAAAAAAAGUUGGAAAAAAAAAGGAAAUGCACAGGAAAUGCAGUUGUCUAGGAAAAGAAAAAAAAACAGAAGAAAAAGAAGGCUACACGUAUUCAAGAAUUGGUUACAAUAAAUACAUGUAACUUACAGACACUCCACUAACUUAUACACCAGGGACACCACCAAGGACCUUUUUGUGCAAAAUUUAUAAUUUCACAUAAAUGUUGAUUAUAGGAGCUCAAUUAUCUAUUUUUCAGAUACUACUGUCGAAUUUAUGGAGCAAUAUGAUGGCCGAAAGAGAUUCUGUUCACUGUCUAGUGUAAAGUCCGCGUUCUGUACAUGAAUUGUAUGCCUAAAUGAUGGCUAAUUAUAUGCAACUUUUAAGGGGACGACAUCAUGAGAAAUUUCAUCUCCUAAAAAUCUUCAACAUAUGCCUUUUCUCUUGCUUUUAUGCUCGAAUCUACGCCUCUCAUGUUUGACGCUAACCACUAAAGCAUCUCCUCACUUAGCUUUAUUACCCCAUAGUAUGAUCGUGUUAGGCUGUUUGAUAAAUAGAGGUGCGCUGGCCGAACUUGCACUGUUGCGCACGACAACCUCCUUUCACAGGACCAUCUUUAUCACCUAUACCAUGUUAAACAUGACAAGAUAUUGAACUAAAAACAAGUGCUGUUCAUGAGAGAAUGAAAUUCUUUGGCGCGUUCGAAGCCACAUAAACUAUUAGAACAAGUUUGGGAUGUGGUAUGUUCAAUAGCAAUGAAAGCGCUCCAUAUUUUUUUCCCCGAGAAAAUAAAUACACCGUAUUGUGGGAUUUUACACUGUUUUGGGGGGAAAUGGUCAUCCAGCAGUUACAGUUAACAGCAAAUAUUUCUUUCUUAAGUUCAAGAAGUGAAAAUUGAUUAUCAACCACCUAGUACCAAACUAUAGAACAUAAUCUGGAGGAUUCAAUAGAAUAAUAGGGAUGACCAGCAAGAGUCAGAGAGCUGAGACCCAACCUGCUCAUACUAGUUAAAGCUUUAGCAUUGCAAGCAUAAGCAUGGAGUGAAUCUAUAAUGUGCUUACUAGCAGAUCGAUGUUGAUAAGAGUUACGGAUGUAUUAUUGGUCAUGUAUAAAUAAUCAAUCACUUGAAUAUUCACAUAGAGAGCAAGCAAGCACAAGAGAGAGAGGUAAUAUGGCUGCUGAAGCACUAGUUAUGGUAAUGAACAAAAAAAGAAGAAGAGAAGAAAAUGCCAUCCUGCUCCAACAAUACUGCCCAAAACAACAACAAUAGCAUAGCAACGAGUUCAUCAAAAGGAAAAUGCACUAAAAUGAACCUAUAAAGUAGUAAGAUAUCUGCAAUUUAAGUUAAUAGGUCUACAAUGACUAUUCUUAUUCUAAAUCUACAAAAUCUACAAAUAGUUGUUUGAAUGUGUCGCUUGAAUUAUUCAGAAUAUUUUCUUAUAAAAGACUUGCAAACCACACAUUAACAGCUAAUUUGUUAUUGCUUGAUACUUGAGGGGCAUGGGAAUCAAGUCGUGCUUGCCAGAAAACUAGCAAGUAUAGGUUACAAUUGAUUAUCUUAGAAUAUCUGAAUAUAGCAUUAACAAGGAAUGUAUGAAGGUAGAUGUUAUAGCCAUAUGCUCCAUCAAUCAUAAUCACCCCUUUAAAAGGUGGAGAUUUCCUGUUUCUAUUACCGUCCGCAAUUGGAGAAGAGACCAAGAGAAUUUUGAUGGAGAGAAGAGACAACAAUACUAGGUACUGGAGUUUAACAUGGACAGGAUCCAGUUGUGAUGGAUUCCAUAUAGAAGGAGGAGGCUUGUUGAUGAAUUGACGCUAAUCUUUAUGGUUCAAGAGAAAAUUGAAAGUGUUGAGAUGAGAAUCGAAGAAUUAGGGUGAGAUACAAGAUAAUGUGCAUUGAAAAUUCUGAACGAUUGUGUUAAGAAAAACAUGAAACAGAAGUAAUCUAGACAGAAAAAAGAAGUAAUCUAGAAGUAACAAAUCAUCUGAAACUGUAAAUUUAUAGAAAAUUACUAGUAGAAAGUUUAAUAGAAGUGAUGUAUUGAAAUAGACGAGUUGAGGUAACUGUCAUGAGAUGGCAACAUAGGGAAUACCAAGAGACCAGAAAUCACUAUUAAAUUGUUUAAGGAGGAGAUGAUAUUUGGGAUUAUAGAAAGAUCACAAAUUACAACCUAAGCGCAGUAAAUCAAAAUGGAAAUAGUAAAUAUAAAUGGCACAGCUAGGAAUCAUAUAUCUCUGUAUCAACAAUGUAGGAAAUCCAGUAAUAAUACAACCAUGAUGAAAAAGCUGACAAGCUCCAGAAUAUGGUGAAAUUUUCAAAAAGCUAGUUGUCAAUGGCUUCCUGUUAAAUGAGCCAAACAUGAUUUCAGAUGAAACAGAAGCAAAAGAAAAGUCGAAUUAGAACUGCUAAUCACCACCUCAAUCAUCUUUCACUGUGUCUCUCUUCAUAUAGCAUGCUAUGCCUGAUAUCAAGCUUGAAUUUUCAGUCAUAAAAUCACCAUCUUAGAACAAAUGAAACCCAAUUUGUAUUCUUCAAACUAUGGUAUUUAGGAAAAAGUAAGGGUUACAGCUCAUGGAUGAAAGUAGUUAGAAAUUAGAAUGUGUUGAAAGAUUACUGUAUCAAUGUCUAUACCUGUAGUAUAAGGAGAAAAAUCAAAUAUCUUCAUAACAGAAAAAAAGGCACAGCAGAUUAGUAAAUUUUUCAUGCAAAUACAAAUUAACAACACAUGAAGAAUUUUUAACGUCAGGAGACCAAAUCUAAUCAAGGUAAUGAGUCAUAAAUCAAAUCAUUUCCAUUUGGGUUGCUAUGAGCAUGCAGUAUCACACAACAAAUAAGAAUUACGGCAGUCUUGCAAUUGAAAAAAUUUAAGGAAGUAUCUUCAUCGAUAAAGCCUAAAGUUAUACAGAUCUGAAUGAUAUUAAUGAUGAUAAAAUCGCUGUUAGCAGAUUUAUGUCAAGAAAAACAAAAAUAUAUUAAAUGCUAAUUUUGCAAAAUUUAUCGAUUGUGAGGUUGCAUCAACAAACAAAGUAUAGAACACAAACUAAAGCAGUUAAAUCUGUCAACCAACCUUUGAGAAACAUACAAGCAAAAAAUGUUUGCAAUACAGCAAUGAUAACAUGUAAUAUCUUAUCAAAACCCUUUGGCCAACAAAUUAUUCAAGCUGGCAUGAUGUGUACAUGGCCAUAUUUAUAUAAUUACUUCAGAAGAAAAUAAGGAUGACAAGCUUUUAGAACUACAAUAAUAAUUGAAAGUGAUAUAUGCAUGAAAUUAAUACUGAACUCAGCUUCAAAGUACCCUCUUCCUACCUAAAUGGAGAGCAUGCUGGUCUAGAUAAUAUCCUCAAUAGUAAAGUGAACCUGGCAAAGUAAGAAAAAAAUGGAUAAGUUAGAGAACUGUUUGUCUCCUCAAUACAUGCUAUUUACCCAAAAUUUUUAGACUGGUAUUGUACCUUGCCACCAAUCACCUCUAGUAGCAACAUUUGAAUCACCCAAAUCAUCUUCACCAUUGUUUUUAUACUGCACGAGUUUAGAACACAAAGAAAUACAAAAUGAUGCAUGUUAUAGAAUUGGAUUUCAUAUUCCCAAAGUACCAAAAAAAUAUAAAAUUCAAUCACACAAUCAAGCAUAAAUACUUUUAAUUACAUCUCGUAAUUUGUUACCUUAUAAAUGUUAGUUUUCACUUACAUUAUUAUAAGCUCCAGAACUCUGCAUGGAUGGAGAGCUGCUAUAAAAUUCUCUGCCACCAUAAUGAAUAGAAGAGCCGAAAUAGGACGAUUCAGUUGAUUCAAUAGGAUAGGCUGAUUUCCCAUCUUUGUUGCUUGUGUUGUGGCUUUUGCUUGGGCGGCCUUGACAUUUAUCAUCUGCAGGUGUAACUUUAUAGCAGAGUUUGUCAUUAACAAUAGUCUAGAAAUAAUAUGUAAUACUGGAUCUAACAGAACCUAUAGUUGCAAUCAAAUCCACAAGAAACAGACCGACAUGUAUUGGUUAAGUAGAAUCGCAGAUGCUUUAUUAGUUAGUUCAGCAUUAUAUCAUUCUAUCACUUCUCCCAACAUCGAGCUUCAAGAAUAUAUUGAAGCACAAGAAAUGGAUAUGCCAUGGCCUAACAAAAAGAGAUUUUUGGUCCUUUACUCCACAAGCCCUAAUCUUGUGUUAUCAGAAUUCCACUUCACAAAUAAAUGAAUUCAGGCAUGCAUUACAAUCUUCAAGUAUGACUUUGGAACCCAUCAACAAGUGGUGGCCUCUCAUAGGUUAUUGGUAUUCAAGCAUCGAGGAAUGACAAUCUUUGAAGCAGGUGUCUUCUACAUGACAUAUAAGACAUGAAACAGAAAGAAACAAAGAGCGUUGAAUUUGAACAGUGACGUCAAGAAGAGAAUAUUCAAGAACCUGCUCUUGAGCUCUGAGCAUUCCCUAUCCGACCCUCAGUUCUUUGCUUGUCCAACGUCCAGUACAAGUCGGAAUGAGCCGAAUCCUUUCCCACGACCUAACAUCAUAAAACAGAGAACGAUCAGAGCCUGAAGCAUGAAGCCACCGUUACAAAGCCCCAAAAACACGAGCAGCAGCCUAUCGUACACUACCAAUCAAAGAUAGAAUACAUGCAAGAUCUAUAUGUGAGGCAUAGAAAGUGUCAGCUCGAAUUCAAUCCUAACUACAAAGUACAGAACCAUAUCAUUCCCAUGAAGAAUCACAAAACCCAACAAGCAGAUCCAACCUAACAAUCCGCAACUUUCAAAUGACAAAAUCAAAAAAUCCAUCAAGUAUAAACAGCAAACAACAUAAAUUUAUAAAACCCCAAACCGAAAAGAAAAAUGCACAACUAAGCCAUGCACACGACACGAAUAAGCCCCAAAACCUCGCAAACCUAAAAGCCGCAUCCCAGUAAUAACUUGAGUGGAAAUUCCGACAACACCAAUGAGGUAGAAGUCGUGCAACAAGAACAUAAAACCAAAACCUCGGGACGGAUCACGAUAACUUCUCUCGUUUGUUUCGAUCAGAAUCGAUCACGAUCAACACUAACAAAGCAGCAGAAGAAGUUACCGAUGAGGCAGGAGGGAAGACGCUGCUGAAGUAGCCAGAGGAUGCGGAUGAGGAGGAAGCAGAGGAAGCCGCGGCCUCCUUCCGGCCGAAAAGAUCAUCGGCAAUUCUCGAAGAAGAAGAAGAAGACGAAGCGGUGGGUUUCUUGCCCUCCAUCCUUUGCUUUCCUCUUGGUAUCCCAAGAAACAAAACUACCUCAACCCAGGGUAUUUCUCUAUCACCAAACCCAGAACCCAGCACUAAUUGCGACGCAGUGAGCGCCUGAAACCCGCGAAGGGAGAGGAUAAGAAGGAAAUAAGGGACCGGCGACCCUUCUCUUUGUUUCGUGUCGGCGCCUCCACGGCCCUUUUAAGAUCCCUCCUUUCCCAUACUGUUGCUUUUUCGUCUACUUUUUUACUCCUAUUUUCGUCCAAGAUUCAUCCCCAAAUCUCACUCCCAUAUUCGUCCGAUUUCUCGCUUUUCAUUUUUUUUCUAUAUCUUAUUGUGAUUUGUUAAUAUUUUUAAGAUACGUAACGUGGGUAGAUCUUUUCAUUUUUUUUUCUAGCUUGGUCGGUCCGAGGCCAACCCCAACCUCUUCAUCUCCAAGCCCACCACCGCCCAUGCUGAUGUCCAUCUCCGGGUCGUCUCGUCUCGUUUACGCAGUAGUCGAGUUUUAAUUACUCGCACGUUUGAUUUGAUAUGCAGUGGAUACCGGCCAGUCAAAAUGUAGAAAUUCGGUCGACGUAUCCAACUGGGAGUUUCUCGACUUCUGUAUCUACUUUAUCUACUUUUCCAAGGUAGUUCUCAGCAGGAACCGUUCUCCCCCGCAGAACUUAUCGGAUUACGGCUUGUUCAAACUUUGGUUAAUAUAGGUGAUGGGAGAAAUAUUUAAUAUCUUUACUUUGGAUUAGACCGAGAUUCUUAUUUUCCGUAUUAGUUAUGGUAAUACUACAAUCAAUGCGCGAUCGGCAUAAUUACCGCUGCGUGCUCAUGUAGGUUGGUUUCCAUAUUGUUAACGUACAACGAACCGUUACCUUGUAAUUAAAGUAUGCCACGCUAAAUCAAAUAACAGAUCAGUAUGCUACCAUAUAUAAAGGGAUGGCUUAGGGAUCCUUGGGUAAACUCAUUUUUAGAGACUACUUUCUAUGAAGUUUUUUCUUCUAUAUUAUUACUCUACUAUUCUAACUUAACUAUCAAAGGAUUUUCAACCAAAAAUUUUUUGGUAGGUGGAUUUCUUGCAGGUUGGCCUCGAAGGCGACCAAAUCUUCCUCACUUCAGUCUCAUCUGACUUCAUUCAGCUCGGUUCUUACCGACCUCAAGGCGAGCUGAGCACCGUCCCGACCUCGGUUCAGAAUUUCGUAGCUCUAGAUUGGUGCUAAAAAAAAGCGUAUUAUAGUACCGACACUAAAAAAGGGGAAAAAUCAUCAAUAUGAGAUCACGAAGAAAUCGCGGAGCAUCCAUGCCUUAUAGCACCGAGCUUUGUCCUCACAAGAUUCACUGUAGAGUUCGAAACAUGCCCGCCAAUACAAUCCACUGCACCUAUGAACGUUGAGUAAUUUAAUCUGUUCGUACAACAGGUGCAGGCCUUAAAUGGGGCAGUUCAGGGCUAACAACAAAUAACAACAUAUCUGGAACCAAUCCAACUAGAACCUGUUCAGCCUAACCGCCGCUCCCCAUAACCAACGCGCCAUACACGCCAAGUUAGCCACCAUUCUUGACAUCAAAGUACAGAGCGAUCUCACCAAAGUCGACAUACUUGACUAAGGAGUUCUCGUCGGGAUGGAGAGUGACGUAUUCUAAGCCCCUAUUCCGACAAAAAUUCUACUUCAAGUCUCUAAUCUCCUCGUCAUAUGGAGCCCCUACCUCAGUGAGAAGCCGACCUCGAUAAAAAAAAAUUGAGGAGAUGAGCUGUCAAAUUCAGGCCCUUAAGGGGCAGACUUUAAGGUUAAAUAAUGAACUCAAAUUCUCUAAGAAACCUCUCUUUCUUAGAAGAUCGUGGAGCAAUCGAUCCCACCUUAGUUCAAAAUACCUCAGGUAGAGCCAUAUGAUGGCACCUCGGAUCGUUUGGAUCAUUUAGAGAGCUUCAGAACUCUCAUGAUGUUGUAUGGUGCUACUGAUACCGUGCUUUGCAAAUCUUUUUCUGCUACUCUUCGCAUAGCGGCUCGAUUUUGGUUUUCAAGGCUUCAGCUCGGAUUGAUUCAUUCUUUCGAGCAGCUCGGACAUCUUUUUACUAUGCACUUUAUCUCCAGUCGAAGUUAGUGUCAUGGUUCUGAUGCGUUGCUCAAUGUCAAGCAGAGGAAAAGAGGGUCCCUCAAAGAUUACGUCAAUUAUUUUAAUACGGUGACAUUGGAAGUCUGCGAUCUAGAUCAAUCGGUCGCGAUAUCAGCAAUGAUAGGCGAUUUAACACCGUCUCAUUUCCUCUUUUCUUUGGAAAAGUACUUUUCUGUAGACUUUGCCGAGAUAUUGGCACGUGCUGAAAAGUAUGCUAAUGUAGAGAAAGCCAUGGCCUCACAUUGUGAGUCGGCUAGUGGAAGACCCAACUGAGGAUGCAAAAGGAGACAUGAAGAUCGGGGUGCGUUGAGAAGUAUUUCACCCAUGACGAAAAGAGUCCACGCCGGCCCAAUCGUCCUCCUUGAAAGUUUGAGAGAUAUACUCCUCUCACUACACUAAGGACUCAGAUCCUCAUGGAGAUUGAAGGCUGAGGCUACCUACGGCCUCCGUAUCGAAUGAAGGCAUCGAUGAAUAAAAGAGAUAAGAAGUAUUGAUGUUUUCAUUGAGAUCACGGAUAUGAUACCGAGGAGUGUAUCCAACUCAAGGACGAAAUUGAAGCACUCAUCCGAUGUGGAUGGUUGGAUCGAUACGUGCAUACUCGGUGUGGUCGAAAAAAGUUUGCCUCGGAUCAGCCACCUUCAGAGCUGAUCGACAACCAUCCGACAGUAGGAGUUAUCAACACGAUUGCUGACGGUACUCUCGCGGUUGUCAGAAGGCUGAAGCUACUCCGAAGAGACAGCACACGAGAGAUGUUAUUUCUUUCUUUGACGCCGACCUGGGAGGAGUAUAGACUCCUCAUAAUGAUGCAGUUGUUAUUUCUCUUACAACCAAAAAAUAUGAUGUAAAGAGAAUUCUAGUUGGUAAUGGAAGUUCGACUGACGUGUUAUUUUAUGAUGUAUUCCAACGAAUGAAAGCAUCUACCGAGCGGUUGUGUAAAGUCAAUACACCUCUAGUCGGUUUCUUAGGCGAUUCUGUCUCCGUGGAAGGGGUGAUUAAUUUACUGGUUACCAUGGGACAAGUGCCUAGCAACAACAGUGCGAGGUUAAAUUUCUUGGUAGUUUGAAUCCCCUCAGCUUACAAUGCAAUCUUGGGCCGAUCUGGUCUCAAUGCUUUCCGAGUUGUGGUAUCUAUCUACCAUUUGCUCGUGUGAUUCCCUACAAGAAAUAGCAUAGGAGAAAUCCGAGGUGACUCAAUAUUAGCCUCGAAUACGGCCAUAUCUUUCUCUCAUCGGUCUCAUCCGACCUUAUUUAGCUCGGUUCUCACCAACCUCAAGGCGAGCCAAGCAUCAUCCCAGCCUUGGUUCAGAAUUUUGGGGCAACAAUAGAAAUAGAUAAAUAAAAUGAAAGUGUGCAAGACAAGAAUCAUAUGGCUUCCAAAAGGAGAGCUUGAGGAGCAAUAACGACCCAAGUGACCUCAUUCAAAAGAGGUCAAUUGCCGACCGCACCUACUAGGAUCGCCGCGUGCCAACCGAUGCGAGACACUACUCAUAAUAUGGUACUUGGCACUCAAGUGUUGGGUGAUGUUAAGAUCCAUAUGUAUCUCAAUGCCAAUUGGAUUGGUGUCUGUCAUUCGAGGAGCAAAUCCCAAUCCCUUCUCAAGGCAGAGUGGAUAUGUUGCACGUUUAUUUUUAUGGGCCCAUGUAGUUUGAAUUCGUCAUUCCUAAAAUCUUUCUCAACAUUUCAGUGCAUCGACCGGACGACUGGCAUAUAUUUCGUGGAAUCAAUAACCAACCAAAUCUCAAGAUAAUCAAUAUGAUCGAUUAUAGCUCGGUACAAUUUUAAUAUGCUCGAAAAGAAAUAUCGUAGCCGACCAUAUCAGCGAAUAAGAAAAGUGUCCAAUCUUUGAGCACCUGAAAAGAAAUAUUUUAACUACUCCAAUCAGCGGAUAAAAAAAAGCUCAAUUGUCAGUCCGCAAAUCACGCGAUCCUUACUGCAUAGAUCAAUAUCCUCUUCUAUAUAAACACCAGGCACGGGGAUCUCCCAAGUAUAAAAAUAUUUGGAUGUCAUUCUCUCAUUCUCCAAUCUCUCAUGUUUACUUUUGAAACGUUGCCUGAGUUAAGCAUUGGAGGGUUUCCGGCCAAACAAGUUUCGAUUACCUCCGGAUCAUUUUCUUUGGUUGCAAAUUAUAUCCGACAUGCUUCUCUAGCCCCAUCGAGUAGAGCAAUAUCGCCCAUCAGCUCAUCCACGUAUCAGAUCAGAUUUUGAGCGGCGAUAUGUACCAUUGGAAUUGUGCGGUUAUGAAGGCGUCGGGAUUUUGUGUCUACGAGUAACAGGGUUGGCUACUUCAUUUUUCUAUGGCAGUGAGGUUGUUAUCACAGGGCACUUCUUUUUAACCACAAUUUGUUGUGCUAGAAUGUCAUCCAUGAAUCCUUGCCGCUAGUUCAUGAACCCUGAAGUUGGUACCUUUUGCGGUGUAGCAUGGACAAUGAAAAAUGGGAAUUGAUUGAUGUCAUGUGAACUACAAAAAUUCUGGUAAUGAAUUUGGCAAUGACAACCUCGACCUCGCAUUGCUUUCAAAGAAGAGUAAAUAGGUCUUUACCAAAAGCGAAUAGCUUGAAAUUAAAGAAACGCAAUCUCAUCCCUUUUGAUGUCAGGAGAUACAAAUGAUCUCGAAUGGUUGCUGUUUUGCGUGGAAUCGAAGAGAAGUAAAGUUGGAUGAGACUGAAAUGAGUAAAAAUUGAUCGCUUUGCCGAGGCCAAUCUGCAAGAAGUCUACUUGCCAAAAAGUUCUUGGCGGAGGGCUCUUUGAUGUUUAAGAUAGAAUACUAGAGUAACAGUGUGGAAGAAAAAAAAAAUUUGUAUAGAAAGGAGUCUCAAAAUGACUUUACCUAAAGAUCUCCACCCUGCCUCUUUAUAUAAGGUAGAAUACAAAUUUGUUAUUUGAUUUGACGUGGCGUGCUUUAAUUGUAUGGUAAUGAUCGGUUGCACAUUAACGAUGUGGUAACCGUCCCGCGGGAGCAGCAUACGACGACAAUCACAUCGAUCAUGUAUUAGCUACAGUGUCGUCAUAACUGCUAAUCUUUUUUAGCUCGAGCAGAGUGGUACCUCAGUUUUCACCAAGAUUAUUUAUCUUGGUUGAGACCGAAGUAAAGAGGGUCGGUCGGUUCAAGCUGAGGUCAAGAUGUUCAAUAUUACUCACAUCAGUUGUAUUUCCAAACUAUAUUUGAAUUUGAAUUCUUAAGUUGUGCAUACUUAUUUAAAUUUUCUAGAGGUUACUCUUUUUGUCACUUAGGACUUAUUUGGUUUGUAGGAAGAAUUUUUCUUACUGAAAUAUUUUUCUUCAAAAACUAGUAUGUGAUAUAUGAUAUAUGGAAAAAUAAUUUUUGCACAUUUGGUUAAUCAUAAAAAAAUAGUACAAUUUCAAAAUGGCUUAUGUUUGAUUGAGCAUCUACUCUCUUAAUUGUAAAAAUUACCUACUAUGUCCUUAAGAGUAUUUUGGAAAGAAAACCAUCCCAAUUUUCAGCCCGUAGGAAUAUAAUUUUCAUAUAUUCCACAGUAUUUUUUUUCAUGNNNNNNNNNNNNNNNNNNNNNNNNNNNNNNNNNNNNNNNNNNNNNNNNNNNNNNNNNNNNNNNNNNNNNNNNNNNNNNNNNNNNNNNNNNNNGUGGACCAUACUUUUUCCUCUUAUCGUGAACCACACGAGUCCAGGACGUUGCCUUCGGCUUCGCAUCAGAUCCUUGGCUUCAAAGUAACAAAUAUCCUCGCCAACUAAAUCAGUUAUGCUUCAUAUCGCAUCUAGGAUAACACGAUACUAGGCUACAAUUUGCUCCUUCACCCGAAAGAUACGCCGUAUGGACCCACCAUCGGCGCGAGGCCGUUAGUGGGACCCAAUACAUUUAUCCGAGAUGGUGACGGCGUAUACCAUUUUCUGAUGGAGGUUUUUCCCAGAUCACUUCACUUUGUGGCUCGACGGAAGCGUGUUUACUUUUUGUCAUUUGGAUAUCAUCCUUAUCUCAUCUCUAGACUUUAUUUGCCGUCUAAAGAUGCACUACCCAUUCAGGACCGCACAGAAUCUUGGUAUUCCAAUGUGUGAUUCGGAGCUUUGGGGUUGCUCCUUUAGGAAGAUUUGAUAUCCCCCAGAUGCAGGAUAUAUCAGCGGAUUCAAUAGUGGUUGGAUCAAAAAUUCAUCAUAUUUAUUAAAUGACUUAAAAAAAUAAAUUUAAACUCUACUUGUUUAUUAAACGGAUAACUCCACCCGUUCCGCAUAAAUUUUUUAUUAUAUAUAUAGAGUUGGAUUAAAUGAGUUAAACAUACUAAGUUAUUUUUUAAUAGGUUAAACAAGUUACGCGAGUUGGGUUAAACCUCGGUCUAUUGUACCAUCAUGCAUCGUCCGUUACGAGGCGUAUCGUACCGUCCGGAAGAAAAUCAAUAUGAAACUUCACUUUAAGUUGGUAUACAUCCGGUACCAAUCCGUACCGAGGUAUAUUGAGGUAUGUAUUAGUCUGUACCGAAGCGUGCCGACUUGUAUCGAGACGUAUCGAAAUAAAAAAAUCGAAAAAAAUAGUUAAAGAGCUAUUUUCGUACCGAUAAAAUAUUGAUGUGGUAUUCAAUAUCAAAAUUAUAGGCCUUGAGUUAAAUAAUAAGUAGAUUUAGAUAUAUUAUUUAAAUGAAUUAAAUGGAUUGUAUCAUGAUCUAAACUAAUUAUUAAAAUAUUAAAAUAAAUUAAAUAGGUUUAAACCUAAAUCUGACCUAUUUAAUAAAUGGGUCCAAGAGGUUCGCCGGUUUAUGUCAUUUCGCUGUCCCGAGUCCAAUGGGGACUGACAGAUAUGGCGAUUGCAGCCUGAGGCCACCACGGGGUGUGACGUGGACUUCCAUCCAAUUAUCCAAAAGGAGCGGGGGAUGGAGAGCCCCUCGUCCGCUUGAAGGGCCAUUUUGAUUGGUGUGCCGGCUGUCCAUACCUCGAGCCAAAUCGAUGGAUUCCUCGAGCAGAUAUCAAUUAGGAUGGCGAUUUGAUUUGAUCGUAUCAAGUAUACCAUGAGAGCGAGAACAAGACAAAUGCCGACAGACCCAUCUAAGAAAAUUGAGCGGAUUCGGCUUCUACGUAAAUGAUGGCGGAUCACUGCAAGGAAAAAAGAGAGAGAGAGAGAAAAAAAAAAAAAGGUUAUAGAGACAAAAAAAGGAGAAUAAAAAAAAUCAAAAAGAAAGCUAAAAUGUUUUAUCCCAUCAUUCAAUUACCCUAAUUUAUAAGUGGGAUGACCUUAUAUAGGCCUUAAAUCAUGAAUUGACCAAAUCAAACAAUUAACAACUAACUAAAUUUGGGCCCUUAAUUGAUUACAUACUAAAUUAAACUUUACCAACAUUAAGCUAUUAAACCAAUUGAUCACACCCAAAAUCGGACCUUUAUAAUUAGGUCUUAUAUUGAUCAAUUGAUCCAAUCACUUGACUCAACAACCAAAUCAACUUCAAAAUAAUAGAAACACAACCAAAUUGACUCAAACAAAAACAACUAAUAAGGCAAUAAAAGAAACAUAACGCAAAUUCGAAUGGACCCGAUCUAGGCUUAACUCCAUUCUGUAGCUCAGGAUCCUCUCGUAGCGAUAAUGAUGUCAUCCUCUAGUGCAGGCGCGAGCGAGUGGCUCUCAUGGCUCGAUCGUCUAAACGAACAGCUCUGAUGUCUUUAUCAGUAAAAAGCUGAGAAAGACAGACCACCCAUUUUUAGAGAAUAUCAGAAGGUUAUUAAAAAUGUGUGGUGCCUUUCAGUUUCAGACUGCGCAUAUCAACAAAAAGACGAAUAAAGCUACUGAUUGGAUCGUCUCCUUUGCCGCCCACUAUUUUGAAGAUUUUUUCUAGAUUUGUCUUGUAUCUAUUUCUUCAUUUUUGAGUUGUAUCUUUUCUUUUAACUCUAAUAGCAAUACUCACGCAAGAUUAGUAUGGGCAACGUACAAAAAAAAAAAAACUUGGUGUCUUUCAAAUUGUGCAUAUCUACAAAAAAACAAACAUAGCUACAUAUUGGAUUUUGCCGCCCACUAGUUUGAAGAUUUUUUUUAAAUUCAUCUUGUAUCUUUUUUUUUUUUACUUUAAUGGCAAUACUCACAUGAAAUUAGUGUGAGCAACGUAACCAAAAAAAAAAAAAAAAAGUACCCCACCAAAAAUUUUGGUCUCAAUCCAUAUCAUGGCGGUGGCCGCCAAUGUAACGUAUAACCGGAACGUGUCUCCAGCUCCUCCAAUCUUGCUUCGGCGCGAGGCUAUUAGCCCAAUCCCAGCCCAGAUGCGGCUGGGCCGCAUGCGAUUGAGCCUCAUGGCUGGUCGCAAGAUGGGCAGUGCCCAAUCUAGGAUUUGAUGCAAACAUUUCAAUUCCUCUAUUCGAUUAUUUCUUUUGCUAAUUAAUGGGGAAGAUAAUCUCAUUCUCUUGCAUCUACGUCUUAAGAAGCUAUAAAGCAACCAAGAUUUUCUCCUCCAAGUGGCACAAUCUGAAUGGACGAACUUGUAUUACAACAUCCAUCAUUAUAGAUAAACAUGUCGCAAAUGUUUGGCAUGCAAUUAGCUUAUUAAAAUAUUAGUCUGCACUCUGACCAACCAAGAUUUUUUUUUUCUUAUGUGGGGUACGACUGUGGGAAGAUUGAAAUCUAGAGGAAGAAAAAAAAGAAAGCAACCUCCCGAAAUCUCAGCAGCCAUGUGUAACAUGUCCUCCACCAAAAUCCAAAUCUCCCUUCAACCUUCGUUGAACAAGCUUUAAGACACUAACUUUGUUGAGCUGCCAAGUAUCCUUAAGAAUGGGAUGCAGCCCAAUGCCUAAAUUAAUGGUCAGAUCUAAAACAAUGAGAUCUCAAAUUUCCAUGGUAGCAAAGACUUAAACCUAUUGGAUUGCAAUCUUGCACAUGCUUUCGGGCCAUGAAAAUUAUUCUGUAUUUCAAUUCUUCUUUGUCAUAUUGCAAUAAAAAUUAAGUUUUGGUGGCUAAUCAAAAAUUCUUAAAAUUUUGGGAUCUAAGUUUAACUAGUUCAAACUUGGGGAGGUGUUUCUAUAAUUUUCUUUUUUGACUUUUUUCAUAUUAUUUUGCUGCAAAAGGACCAAAAUUUCUAUCAAAUUGGGGAUUUUCUUGACAGUCGUCGUGGAUAAUCAUGCACAACAAAUGACUAGUGUUAGAAUUAUUAGGAUUUUUUAUUAUCUUUCAAAAUUAUUAGGAAUUGCUAAUGUGUGACAGAAAUAAAACAGAGGGAAUUAAAUAUAAUUAAACAAGUAGUGUAGCCAAUGAAGAUGCUAAUAUUUGAUAGAAUUAAAUAUAAUUAAACAGAGGGCAUGAUGUCGAACGGAUAAACCAAACUCAAAUUUGAAGCUGGAUCGGGAAAAAGUAUCUCAAUUGGUGCUAAUAUCUUAUUCAUUUAUAUAUAAAUUUCCUUGCGUUUAUCUACUUUUUGAUCUAUAAUUUCUUUAUAGUAGUAACUUGCAUGUCAAUGUACAUUAGAGAAAAAAUAAUAUAUAAGAUAAAGUUACAUCCGUACCUUUCUACAUAUCUAUUAAAUGUACAGAGAAAUCAAUCCUGCCUUCAGAAUUUGAGAAAAUCUACUACAAAAUUAGAGAAAAUUGACAAUAUCACAUCAUUAGAGGAGCCACAUUAAUCUAAAAUUCUGGAUCACGAGUUUAUCAUAACACUUAUAGAUUAACUUUUAAUAGGCAUCAAUUGAAAAUAAAAAUUUUAAUCGGCAUCAAUUCAAAGAAUACUUUUUCUUGACUGAUCUGGACUCUUCUAAAUUAAGAUCAGUUAAGAUCCUAAUCAACGUCAAAAAAUAGCCUACAUCUACAUCAGUAAAAAAAAUCCACCAAUUUGCUCAAAAAAAAAAAAAAAUCCGCACAGUAAAGGCUCUUCCUCUUAGGCAUCACUUGAAACAAACCAAAGAAUCUUAAUCAGCAUACCAAUUCAAAAAAAAAAAAAAGAUUAAUCGGGACUCUUCCUAAUAACUCAAUUAAAAAUCCUAAUUGUUAUCAUUUCCAAAAAAGGAAAAAUAAUUGAUAUUAAUCUAAAAAGCAAAAACCAGCUAUUAAGAUUUUCAAUACCCAUGUUAAGGACUCUUCUUCAUGCCGCAUUAGUUGAAACAAAUAAAAGUAUCAACCGGAAUCUUUUAAAUCUUUUUUCUUGACUUAUCUAAUCUCUCCAUAAUUAAUACCCAAAAAAAGACUGUUACCUAAAUCCUUAACAAACCCGCUAUUAUCAUGUGGACGCCUGCAUAAUAUCUCUACUCCCUAUUUUAAAUAGUAAUUUUGUUGCACUUGGUCAAUAGAUUUAAAUUUAAGAAUGCAAGACAACAACAAAUUAUAUUGAAGGACAAACUUGACCAAAUCUGGCUUUGAUUCCUAUUCGUUGGUCAGAUUACAAGGCCUUGGAUCAGCCGGAUUCAAAAUGGAUUAUUAGGUCAAUAGCCUCCAGUGCAACCGUCAUUUAUCUUAUCAAUGACUCUUCCUAGAAAUUAUCCUCGCCGAUCCAAUCAAUAAAUGAUCUUUUCUUGGACAUAUAUAAGUUAACAGAGCAACAGCUCAUUAGGUCAUUAGCCCUCAUUUGAACCGGUUAUUCUAUUCCACGGCUCUUUCUCAUGAGUUGCUAGGUGCUUCCUUCUGUGAAUUAUACUCGUCCAAUAAACAAAUGAAUGAACUACUCUCUAUUGUUAAACUAUUGCUAAAGAUUGAACCAAAACAAAGUCAUCACAUAAGAAAAGAAGAUAUACUUUGCAAUUCCUAGCUGUUUCAGCAUUCAUAACUUCAAGAAGCAAUCCAAGAAGUUCACAAUGAAGAAUAUUAUGGAUUAUAUAUAAUGAGUAAAAGUUAAGACUCAAGGGAUAUUUCAUUACUAAAAUUUAUGAUAAGCAACAGUUGACCUGACCUUGGAUGGCCUUGGUAGAGAGUAAAUCUAUAUUAGUGUUUCGGCUGUGCUCAUGAGAAGAUGAUGGUCAUAAACCGAAAUCUAUACUAUAACAUUAACAAGAAGAAUAUAGAUAUGAUGGUACAAGAAGAAUAGUAUAUUAUGAGAAUAAAAAAUAAAUAUACAAUUUAAGAGAAUAUUUAUGCAAGUUUAAAUUUUUAGUAGGAUAUUUAUGAAAAAAAAAACCCUAUAUAAUGCAACAUUAAACUUGGUCUUAUCACCCUACCUACGCUCACGCAAGAAUGGAUCAUCCAGCGCAGUCAACGUCAGCCUGAACCAACCCAAAAUAUAAGCUGAUAAAUAGGCAAUCUCCUAAAACAACAAGAACAGCAACCAGCCCUCCACGCCGACGUGUCCUACUUACACUCACAAGUUCGGUGGGCCCCACUUUAGUUUCGUCGAACAUUAUAUCACCAAGGACAAGGAGGCUGUUUGCUGCCGGCCAAGACUCAGCUGAGCUCUACCCUUCCAUACGCCCCCUGAAAUGGACCGAAUCACAAGCGACAGGCACCAGGAAAUUUCCCUGCAAUUACAGCUGGCCCGGCCCUGGUCCACGAGCGUGGGUCCCAUUGCUUCACGGGGGAGACCUAAAAGAAGCGUAGACGCGUGCAACGCCGGCUGGACCCCUUCCGGAAGCCCCACAGGACCCCACUUAGUUCAGAAGGGACAGGAACAUGUUUUCAUCAUUAAGCAAUCAAACGACCAAUGAUAUCCUUCCCUUGCGAGCUGUCUCUCCUCUGUCUCAUCGAUCUAGAAAAGACCCAUAAAGUUGGUGACUCGGUUCAUGGAAAAGGAGGAUGGUUGCGAAUUUCUUGAGAUUUUAUACGGAUAUCAUUUCACAUCGUGCAGAAAUUAGAAUAACUCCAAGAGGACCAAGACCUAGAUGGAGUCCACGUCUAGUGUAUAAAGCCUUCCAAGUUGCAAUCCUCUGGCCAAGAAAAAUAGACAUGGAAUCACGAAGGGCUCCCUUCUUCUUCCUGCUGCUCCUGGUUUCAAUCCAAUAUCUUCACCUCUCCGGGUUUGCAGAAGCCAGGCCACUGCCGCUGCCCUCGGGGAAACAAGAGAGUAAGAGCUUCUCUGAAAGUUACUGAAGAAUUUUACCUGUUUAUGCUGUGUCCGUCUAAUUAUGUGUAUUUGAAGGGAUGGGUAUGAAAGUCUAAUGAGUCUUUCAAUCAUGGCGUGGUUCAGGGCAUGUCAAGGUGCUGGAGUCGCUGGGCCUCCUCUGCCGGUGCUGCGACGGAGUGGGAGGGGAGUGCAGGAGCGCCUGGGAAUCCACCUGCACCAAACUCGACUGCCGUCCCUGGAAAUCUUUGUGAUUUUGGCAUCUCAAUUUUGGUUUUCUGGCCUUGUAAAUAACUUCUGAAGAGUUGGUACUUGAAGCAUCAAGCAAAGCCAUGCAAAUGCCUUCCAUAAUAGCUAGUCUCAAUAGGAUAUGGUGACCUCUGUGAAUUGCACUUGACUAGGAACUUUGGAAUGGUGCAAUUGUUGGGCAAAAUCAGCAUGAUCAUACACAAACAUUACAAAUUGACAUCACAGAAGUUAAUUAGAGCCAUGGGCUUGUUCAAAGAAAACAAAUAAUGAAGUAACGAGAGCAAAAUGUCAGAGGAGAGAAUGGUUACAUAUAAUAGAAGAGGAAGAUGUUGAUUACUUGUCCGGUUUUGACUCUGCUUUCAUUUGCCAAUGCUCUUGAGUAUGGUAAUCGAAAAUCUGCUUUCAUUUGCCAAUAUAUAAAAGAUGUUAAUUGCUUGUGUAGUUUAUACUUCAGGAUGGUAAUUGCUUGAUAUAUAUCAGUCCCCUGAGAUGCAUCAACGACAGGUCCAUUAUCUGCAUGAAUUGCUUCCCAUAAAAACAUCCUACCCUUUACCAGAUCACUAUCCACGGAGCCUGGUUCGCAGUACCUCUCCGAUAGACCAAAGAAGGAAAAGAAAGAAGAGAAAACUAUGUAUAUAUAAAAGAGUGAAGCCCAAGAGGCAAAUCAUCAAAUGGGAUCAUCUGACAAAUUGAAAACAUUACCUUGAUUUGCCAGCAGAAAACUUGUUUUGCGCAUUGCCUGCAUAUAUAAUAGGACACGUACUCUGUGGGAAAUGUUGUCAUCCAACAAGAAUGACAUUGUUAAGCAGAUGCAAAUGAUGAAUAAAGUCUAGUAGUAAAAUGCGAAUAUCAUGGUCCAUUAGUAAAAACACUGCAUUGGAUGACAAGGGAACAACAGAUCUCCAACAAAACUUUUUGAAUAGAUGCAUGCAAGUAGCACCAGCAGUAUGAUCUCAGUGAAGAGGGAAUAAAAAAUUAGACCAACUUCAUGGACAUUAAAAUAUGAGAAAAAACCCUUAUUAGUUACAUGUAAUGUUGAUGCAAACUCCCCUUCAUUUACCUGGUGGUGCACUGUGAGCAUCACCUCAAAAGCUCUCAUGUUCUGGCCAAAGUUCAGGGUCAAGCAUGCCAAUUAUGUUGUUGCUCUCUGCUUCAAUUUCAUGGUGUAGUGCUGUACAGACCUAGAAAAUGCCAUGAAUUUGUGGUGUGGAGCUUCAGCGUUUUGCUUGGAAACACAGAAACUAUUUCUUCCAUGCCAGCGAAAAUGUCAAAAUAUCACAUAUGUAGAUGAUAUUGUCACAGGGGUUCUACCCUAGGCUCUUACUGGCAAACUUUUCAUAUUCUUUGAGUUAGCUUGGCUGCAAAAUCACUGAAGCUUCUUUUAUGUGCUUCUCCAACUCAAUACAAUGUGCUCGGACUAUGAUCAAAUUUUUCUCGUAGGAUCUUUUAUGCAUACGGAUGUGCUCUUCUGGGCCUAGCGAACAAGUUGGUCAAAGAAUUCACAAUUCAGCUUUUGGGCACACUCUGAUUGAUGCUACGAGAGUGUGGAAAUCUAGCGAUCAAACAUGGCAAUGCAUUGAGUCUGGAUUUUCAAAUUUUAUGGACUGCUCCUUAAAACUACAUCUUAUUAAAGGUUUUCUUCUCAUAAACAUCUUAUUCUACGAUCUGUGUUAAAAGAAAGUUCUAACAUCCCAAAAGAAAUUUGCCCCCAUAUCCAACUGAAAGAUGCUAACAUAGUAUAUGGAAGGUGCCAUUACUUUGUUAGAAAGAGGCUACACUGUCAUGUAAUGUACUUUGAUAAAUCAAAUCAAUAACAUUCACGAGAACUAGUAUGAUAUUUAGAUCAAUUAGCUUAAGGGAUCAAAUGCAAAGCAUCAUUAGCUAGUUCACUGGGAACAUUCGGAUAUGGUAGUAGUUCUAUGAGUAUAAAAAAUUUCACAGAUUUAUUACCAAAAAAAUGAAGGAAUGACAUUACCUAGCAAAAACAUUUCUCCAUCAUCCAUGUAUUGCACCAACAUUUUUAACAGAAUCACAUGUGAUUUUUUUUUUCUUUAAUUGCUUUUUAUUUUUUUGAGAACUAGGAUGGGAGGAAGCCCAGCUGAAAAUCAGGUGAGGGUGGAACUCAAACCCACCAGUUAAUUUACCAACAGCACCAGCUGGCAAUGUUGCUUUAAUUUCUUUAUUAAUGCUCACCUAAAGAGGGUGUUAUCAGGAUAUUUGUACCAAUUGGUCAUUAGACACAAAAACAGUGCUCCAGCUUGACCAGUGGCCCAAAGAAUAAAAGCCCUACAACAGGCCAAUUACAGAAGGUACUGACAGACAGCUCAAAUUUGAUGCAAGACGUGUCCUUGUCCUUAAGAUUGCAUGUUGGUUUUAACAAAACUAUGCCAUUCCAAAACCAAUUCUGUUCAAAACCUACCAAGCAACCAUAUCAUUUCCAUUUCUUUGUGAUAUACAAAAUCUAGUUGGCUUAGAUUGGGAGCUUACCUGUCCCCAAGCACUUGCUCCAAUAGACUAUGGUGGAUAGACUCAGUUAAGUACUCAUCAUGCAGCUUCUCCCCCAAGUACACUAAUGUAAACCUGUCACAUCAAAUGAUUUCCAACCCAUCAAUCCAUCUCAAAGCUUAUUUGCUUUGUAGCAUCAAAUAAUAGCAAGUACCAACGACCUUCUGCAUACACAGUUCUUAUCAUAGAUUAAUGCUCACCUGUUUGUCUGCAUCGGCACAAAUGGAAAUUGGAAGGAGAGAUGGUGAGAAUGGUGGUGAGAUGAAGGAGCAAUAUCCAUGCAGUAAAUGAGAAAGCAAUUACAGCAUAAAUGAGAAAGCAAUCACAGCAAUCUUUCAAUUUGCUUAGGCAAAAGUGCAAAUAAGUUAUUAGAAGAUAAUAAGCUCUGUGUUAUUCAUUUGUUCUAUGAAACAGUCACUAUUUCAUACAUCCCACCUCUCUCUAGUGAUAUAUGGCACCAUGUAUCGAGAAUCACUUGGCACACUUAGGGCAUGUCUGGAAAAUCCAACAGGAUUGGGCUGAAUUUCUAUAGGAAUCGGGCUUGUUAGCCUGCUCAGUCCCUUUUUUUCUAAAGGGCCGUCCUAGUCUUGGCCUAAAUUCCAUCUAUAGGCCUGUUGGACAGCAUGUUGAGAAAAAAAAAACUAUGGAGGUCUUUUUUUUUAUCCCAUGGGAUUUGGGCUGGAGAGAGAUUGGGUUGAUAUGGACCUUACCUAAAUAGACUAUGUAAUCCAUGAUCCAACAAGAAAUCCAACCUAAUCUUGCUGGAUUUCCCAAGAAGACCCUUACUAUGUGAUAGAUACUGUCAUCCUUCAUAUUUGGAAUAUACCCAACGACUCAUGAAUACUUUACAAACAAACCAAGAUAUGACCUAUUCUGGUUAACUAGGUAGAUUUUAUUCCUUAUGGUGGUGGCAGGAGUGACAAAGAAUAGUAGGUCACUUUGAUGUCUCAUUACAUAUUCGACACAUGUCAUUCCAUUUGCUAUGACUUAUCAUUUCUCUAAAGGAGCAUUUGGAGGCUAAUCACAUCACUACGAGGAGGAUUCAUUCUAAUUUGGCACCGUUUGGAGCCUGCAUUACAUCAGGCACAUCCCUUUUACCUCCGAAAAUUAACGGUCCUGUUUGUAGUUUAGUAAUCCAGGGGCAUGAUAAAUGCAUCUUAGGGAAAAGAAAAUUCUAUUGAUAAAAACAUUUGUACAUCACUUUAUAUUUUAAAAGAUAGAAGAUAGGAAAAGCUGGGAGAGAAAGGACAGAUUAUUCAAAGAUAAAAAUGUCAGCUAAUAUUAAUACAUUUAUACAUCCAUUUACAAUUUUACAUUACAGGAAUCUUUAGAAAAUUUAUCUACAUAACGAGUAAAUGAAUUUUUAUUAUAAUUACCAAUAAUAUGAUGAAUAGGAAAUGAUAUUAAUUUUGUUGCAUAAAGUUCUGGUAGAGAAAGGUCAAAAGUAAGUACAUAAAGUUCUGCAAUCUCAACAACACCUCUCACAGGCAUUGGCUCUUCAGUUUUCAGAUACACUGUUUCCAUUUAUAUCCGAAGUUAAGACAAAACUCAUUGGAAAAGCAUAUGGCAGAUAGCAACCUUUGAAAAUGUACACAGAUAAGAAGUACAUGAUCAUCUGAUAUAUGCUGGGACUUCAGCGAGCUCUCCGAAUCCAUUGAAGGCAAGCAUGCCCAUAAAAUCUAGACCAUGUAAUUUUCACCUCUGGAUUCAUUGAUGGUGAUAUGCUAUCCAGCCAUAACAUAAUUAGUUUCUAACAUAAGUAGGAAACAAUACAUUCAGCACCAAGAUUUAGAUAAAUAAUAAAUAUGCAAUCAUCUGCUAUUAGAGACACUUAAAAGGCAACUUUACUGCCCAAGCAAAUUGGAUCUGCAAACAGGCGAAUGCACCCACUUAAAAAAUCAAGGAUAUGAACUUUUUUUGUUUUUAAGAAUGGUUAAUCAAUAGAGGAGUAAGAAAAAUACAUAAGGAAUAUGGACAAUAACGGCCGGGGGGGGGGGGGGGAGGGGGGGGGGUAGGUUGGGUUGUCNNNNNNNNNNNNNNNNNNNNAGGUUGGGGUUGUUCGAGCGGAAAUGGAUAGCAAAGGUUGAGAAGAGGGUUCCAUACCGUUGGGUGAGUUUCCAAAUCAUGUAUAAAAGUAGAAAUCGUUGCCUCUUUUAUCACAGGAAUAGCAGCUCCAGAAACACAGUGACUAACUAUACUUCCAUCCUAGACAUGGCGUGGAAUCAUUAGCGGAGCAAAGAUCCCCGUCAAUGCAGUCACACGGAGGAGACGGAGGCGAUCAGCAGCAGGCGCCGCCUCUGGGUGAGAGAUUUCAUCGAACGCCUUCCGGGCAGGAAUCUUGGUUCCCGGGGCCACCUCGAAUCUAAGCGGUCUUCUAUCUUCAUCGACCCGGGCGGCCCAGAUCUCCGAUGGGCCCCGAAUCCCAUAUUGCGGCUGGACGCGAGGGCCAAGCGCUUCUCUGAUGCUUUUCGAUGAAAAGAUAAAGCACCUGGAACCAGACCCGUGAAAAACUGGGUAGUUCUGCGAGCAUCCUACUACUACUCCUGCUCCCUGUCCUCGUCCCCUAUAAAAGUACAAGCAAAAUACCCUCGCGAUGCGGAAGAGGUAAAAAAAAUAAUAAAUAUAAUAAAUAUUUAUUAUUUCUUAGUCACAUGGCUUAUUGAUGAUACGGCAGGGAAUUUGUCUCAAUUUUUUCUUGAAAUUUUCAAUAAAAAUAAAAAAAGCCUAUAUAUCAAACUUGAUGCAAGUAUUAGUAAAACCAAAUUAGUAAUUCAUAUACUUCGUGAUCGAAAAAAGCUAGACAAUAUUUCAACAAUACGAUUACCUCAUAUAAUGGACUCUUAAGAUUUCGUUAGUAUUUUUUUUAGAAGUACGGCCCAGAUGCUACCAACGAACGGGUUGGAUUCCUGGUUCUUUUUAUUUUGAAAAAUAUUUUAUGGAAUUAUUUCUUUCAGAAUUCGGAUUAAAUGGGAAAAAAAUCUGACCUUACUCUUUAAAAUAUUUAUUUUAUUUUCAGAAUAAAUAAACUACUUUUCUGUAUUUGAUUUUCUAAAUGAGUAAAAAAAAAUGUUUAUUCCAUUUAGUUUUCAUCCAACACGCAGCCAAACACAGCCUUCAUACUAACAAUAUAUUUAGAAUAUAAAAGUAUAAUAUAAUAUGAGGCUCUUGAUAUGUACAAAAUCACAGGCGUUCAUCAAAUGCUCCAUUUUUUAAAAAAUAAAUCACGUACCUCGGAGUUCACUAACGUGUCAUGAUAUUUUUCCCCAAAUCUAUAAUAAGCACGCCAUAUCGGAGGCCACAAGGAACUGGGUUAAUUGUUUGUUAAAGUGAACCCACACAAAACUACAAGUCGCAGUACACUGUGCUGUGAAAAGAAUAAUGGUGAACGCCAAGUUCGACUUCCUGUGAAGUCCAUGUAACACGCUAUAUCUGUUUCAGACAAGGAUGCAGCAGAGAGCUGACAUUUUUGCGUGGAAAGAACAUACCCUGCAUCUCACUCUCAUCCAGUUGUGAAUGGCUAGGCCAGCUCAAUUUUGAAGUUCACAUCAGCUGUGCUAAUCUUCUGUGUGAGAUCUUAGGCAGACACUGCUCUCUCCAUUAUAAAUUUACGGACACGGACAAAGCUUGGACUUUGUACCAGGUAGAUGGCUGCCAUGCUUGGACUUGGUAUGAGGAUUGAGUCAUAACACAACUGUUAUGAAGCUUGAGGAUAUGGAGUAGAGGGGAUACGAGCUUACUUCCAAGUAUGGCCCUGAUUGGUCAUGAAAUAUGCUUGUGGCAUUAACAAUAAUAUCAUCUAACUCGAACAAUAAUAUCAUCCAACUUUUGAGCAAAUAAAUGAUGGAAUAAGUUCAAAUAGGACAGAAAGCCAUGCAUGUUUUUCUGAAAUGCAGGCAUUCUUAGAAUACAACAGUGUCUAGCAUGGCCCCCAAUGUCUGGACUAUAUUAGAUGACAUCAGGUUUGAGACAUGCUCUUCUAGACGCUUCUUCGCAUCUUGCCUUCCAACAUUUGCAAUUGCCAGCUUCUCUGGUGGCAGCUCAUCUUCCUCCCGAACCGCUUUGUUAUAUUUGAUGGCCAAAUUUAGCAUUUCCUGUUUUCAGGCCAAACAUCAUAAGCUAAAUUCAUCAGAGAAUUCGGCAAUUAAUUCACGGUUCACAACUAGCUGAUGGGAAUUGAAAAAUUUUACAGCAACGUGAAGCAAAUUUCUAUCAUGAUGAUAUCACAGCACAAUUGACAGGAGCGGUAAGAGAGCUGAAGAUCCAGGCAACGUUACCUGCACGGUCUGUUCAUUAGUUUUAGAAUGAGCGUCGAACUGCCGCAGUGUCAGGCCAUCAGUCCAUUUCUUUUUGUGCAGGUUCAGCAACAUCUUUUCUUCAAGCUCAUUUUUCCGAUAGUUUAUGGCUAUAGAGUAGUAAUGCCGAUUCAACCCAUGAAUGAGUGCCUGGUAAAUGAAAACCAUUUAGAAAGGGUUACUUUGCAUUAAGACAUUUAAAUGAAGGUUACACAACUUACUGCUUCAACAAGCAGUUUACCUGAAUAGAUGGCUUGUUGAGAUGCCCAACAUUAGAAGUAGUCUGGCGAGGCUCUUGGCCUAGCAUCAUGGUCUGAGGAUUGAUCAAGCGGAAAGCAUCAAUAACCACCUUCCCCUUAACACUCUGAAUUGGAUCUAUGACAACUGCUACUGCCCUUGGAUUCAAGGCUUCAAAACUCUGCAAGAGGCAUGAAAGCAGUUUAAUGCCCAGAGCCACAUGGUAAACUUAGUAUUAAUGAUAGAAUUAACCAUAUGAAUUGGCAGUAAGAUUUAAAAGGAGGUCUGGAGUGAAAGGGAAGGAGGCACGACAUUAGUCCCAGAACCAGUGAAACAAGAAAAAAGAAUCACUCUUCUUCCAAAGGUAGUGCAACAUCCUACCAAAACAUAGUAACCAAGCAUGUUAAGCCAUUGGAUGUGUGAUUUGGACAAAGAAGAGAAAAGACAAGUUCCCCCAUCCUUAUCCAAAACAAAAAAAAAGUUGAUUACCUGCUGCGUAUUUAUAUCAACACCAGAAAGCCAACAACCAAAGCCUGGAUGAGAAUGGUACCACCCCACAACCAUCUCGGGCCUGCACAAUUAGGACCAUAGUUAUCCACGAUUACUCAGAGGAAGUCUUAGCAUGUGGAAAUAACCAAAAUAAAGAACAGCGGUUCCAAUAAUGAAACAAAGCUAUCGUUCUGCAGGCCUAAUAAACAUCAANNNNNNNNNNNNNNNNNNNGAGUUGUUAAUGUAGGAAGUUAACAAAGCACAACUAUUGGACAAUGUAAUAACUAAAAAAAUAGAAAUAAUAAUAAAGUGAGAGGAAGGAGCGGCGGCGGCAGCGGUGGCGGGGGGGUGGGUUGGUUGUGGAGAGCUAGCUUCGUGGAAUGAUAUAUGGUGGCCAUUCCUAAGGAGUACACAUUUGACCAUCAUAGGUUCUACUCCAAUCCAAAGCAAAAGUUACUGCCUUCAUGGAACCGAUUAUCACACAAAGCAGUUAGAAUUAGUAAAUUGCAUGCUUGCAAUUUUAAUCCUUUUGGAGAUAAACCCACCAGCAUAGCUCCUUAUUAUCCCUUUUAAUAUCUCCACUGGAUUCCCUAAAUAGCAAAUGCUAACAGCCAGAUAUUGGAUUUAACUUAACGACCUAAAUUCCAGUGCCAGCUAAUGGCCUAAAAGGAUGGUCCAUCAACCUACCAGACAUUGGCCAAAGAUGCUUUCUGCCUGGGCUCUCUUUGAGGUGUCAAUACCUUCUCCUGAAAUCUAUUUCUAGGAUUUCAUUAUAGGUACAGACUGGCUUGGCUGUUAUCAAAAAAAUGACAGGUAUAACCUCCAGAAGGUGGCAAGACAGAAUGAACAGAAGAAUGCCACAAUUUAGGAGAUGAAGAAGAACUUAUCACACCAAGAACAUGAACUGUUAAUGCAAAACAGAUAAACUACCUCACAUCGGCAGAUCCAAGGUAAUUUUCCUGCAAAUAAGAAAAAUAUACAGCGAUGGAAGUUUCAAAUACCACUUCACAUCCCAGGUAACACUUAAGUCAUCGAGUCUCUCUCUCUCUCUCUCUCUCUCUUCAACAGCUAAUACUUGAAUCACUUCACAUCCUAGGUGCAUGCAUGCACAUGCACACACAUAUGCAUUCUACUGAAGUCUAGUAGAUGCAGUCACCUAAUAGAACAAUACAGCAAGACAAAGAACACAACAAUGCAACCAGAGAAAUGGGGAUCUCAUAUUCCAUUCACCAUAAGAUUUGAAACAUACUUCUUCUUUGUUCCAAGAGGCCAAAGUAGUUGGCACAAAGCUUCUUAACACUACAUCCCUCCAAAAGUCUAUCCUCCCCCAUCCUGACACCAAUUAUGGAACAUUUAGCAUGAUGAAUAAACCGACCAUUAACUCGUCGCGAACAGCCAGAAAGGAAUUAAAGCUAACCAAUAUUUGCAACUCAUGCUCACAUAACAUCGGUAAGUAAUCCACAUACUGCAAUCAGGAUUAUAGCAGACCUUAGAUAGCACACGUCUGAUACAAUACCUUAUAAUAAUCAUAAAUAAUAAAAGAAACUGUCGAAUAAUAAUGCCAGACACUUGAGAUGAACCCGCAACCAAAAUAAGAGAGAAAGAUGAGGACCUUCCGGUCUGCUUGAGCAUAUCGAGCAUGUUGGUCUGGAAGACGUGGUCGACGGCCUCGACGCUGACGCCGGUCCCGCUCUGCGGCAUGGCGAAUACGUCUACCACCCGCACCGUGUACUCGUCCACGAACUCCCCCAGCAUCAGCCCCAUCACCUCCAUCGGCACCCCAGCCCUCCCUAUUUUGAUUUCAUUUCAUUACAUUUCAAUCAAUUAUUCUGAUAUACAUAUUCGUAAGAAGGAAGAGAACCCUAAUUUAAAGGAAAAUAGUACUCGGAAGAAGAAAACCCACCACCCUAGAUGAUCUGGUGAUGGAUGGAUGGACGGAUGGAAAAUGAAUUAAUUACCGUGCUUGAGCAUCUUGAGGAGGGCGAGGGAGGAGAUGUAGACCUGCUCCGACGAGUCCACCAGCGGGGAGUCCGUCGGCGGGUGCCCCAUCCCUCCCGCCCCUGAGAAGAUCCGAUGCAGCCUCUCCAUCCCGCCCUUCCUCUCCCUUGCGUUCCUCUCCUCUCCUCUCCGCUUUGGGUUUCUCUCGCCAAGCAAGAAACUCCGCCUUCCAGCCCCGAGCACCAAGCCUUCUUCUCGUCCCGGUCCAACCUGUACCAGUCUUAAAGGUUGGGCCCGCGCCUCUUAUAGCACGGUCAAAAUAUUUUUAGCAAAUUAAUAUAAAAGAAUAAUAGAGAACUAACUAGAAAAAAAGAGAUAUUUGAUUUCAUCGACGGAAACGAAGCCUCCAAAAGUUUUUUUUUUUUUACUGGUUUUAUUAAAUCGAUCACAUUGACCGCUUGCCUCCGUAGCCAACAGGAGAAAGAUGUCUUGACCAUAAAGAAAAGGCAUAAUCCUAAUUAUAAUAAAAAAUGUAAAUAAAAGUAAGUUAUAAAAAAUAAAUAAAAGUCGAUUGUGAUUUUCUUUUCCAGACUACGAUUCGCUUCAAAAUGGCACAAUCUAGUUUAUGUGGACAAAUAGAGAUAGCAAUAGAUGUGUUCCAUGAUAAAGAUUUGAUCUCUCUUACACCUGAUCAUUCUUCUUUCAGACAUAUACAAAGUAUACAAAUUUAGCAUUUUCCCCUUGUUUCGACCUUCUCCAACAUGUCCAGCAUGAUACAUUUAACAUGAUGAGUUAUGAUUGAUUUCAUCACACACCACAACACAGAAGUAAAUAGCAUCUUUUGUUUCUGUCCAUCCUUCAUAACAAGUUGAACAAUAUGAUGCAGCUUGAUCAAAAGCUGAAGUCCAGAUCCAAGGCACCAUGUUCCAAAAUGUAAAAGCAACGCAACCAAAACAACUAGCCAAUCUUGAGACAGUCGUCCAUCUAUAAGUGUUUGUUACACGAAACUAUAAUUUCAUUUCUCAAAAGAACGCAUAAUCCACUUCAUAAUGACUCUGUAUACAUACAUGAGCACAUUGACUAACAGUGCAAACAAGAGACGAGCCCCAAGAUAGCAGACCCAUAGAGAUCUCUCAGGUGUGGAGAUAAUUAGCUGCCAUCAUCAACUCCAAAGUUAUUUCAGGUUCAAUAUGAAACUCUGUCUCCAUUCCACUGCCAACAACAUAGACAAAAAAGAGGUUAAGGAAUAAUUUUAACAGAAAUAGUAAGAAAGCACAGAAGGCUUUAAAAUUAGUCGCUUUUUAAGCUGAGAAGAAGCGUGUGAGGCAAAGCAUAAAGAUCAAGGACAUUGCUCGUUUGUCAUACCAGUUUAAAAAGUGAAGUUCAUUGAAUUCUUAUUCAGUUUAAACCUUUACAGUAACACAAACAAUCAAGAAUUCUGGCACAAACAGACCCGAAAUCAUACAUACAGUACACCACUUAUGUGGUAAAUUUGGAAAACCAACACAUCCAUUGAUAAGAGAGGAAAUUAUCUCUGUGAUGAACACAUAAUCUAGCUAGAUGUCCACUUUAGUCAAUAAAUAAAGUCACAAGCUCUUAUUCACAAUUCCGUCUGUCCUUUCACCGUCCAACUUCAUUUAUCCUUUCCUAUUUCUAACAAGAUUUUCAACAUGCAUGACCGGCUUGAAUGGAUAGAAAAACAAGUGCAUAAAUCAGGCAUGAGCAUUAUUUGCCAGAGCAUAUUAAAAAAUCACUCUCUUGCAAUAUAAACAAGAUGCUGCACAAUCUGACAAACACAGAAACUACAGCAGAUUUAAGUGCAUUGUAUACAUGAAUAAAGCAUUUGCUCAUCUCGCACUACUAUUUGCAGAUUCGAGUUUUAUUAGAGUAAUAAUGAACUAAGAUUUUUCUGAAGCCUCUUGUGAGGUGAAAAGUUAAGAGGAUAUAAGUUGUGAGUUCCUCCAAGCACUGAGAAAUUCAAAUAGUUCAAUUUUUUAAUUAUAUCUGGGUGCAGGGCACGCGAAGGGGGUGGUGGGAAUCCUUUCACAUGGUCAGUUUCUUUUUUUUAAGCAUUGCCCUUUACACCCUAAUAUGUAGGUGAAAACCAUCUAAACAAACCAUACGUCACACAAAGACAUAGUGCCCAAGCCCUAUAGGAGCCACAGCAUUGGGUGUGGCAUAUCUGGCACAGGUAUACGUGGCUUAUGUGUGUACAAAGCGCUCCUUAUAAUCCACUCGAGGGUUGCUAGCUACAAGCACCAAAACUACAUCAUAAACAUACAUACUUUUAAAUAUAUAAAACUGCAAAGUCCAGUGAUCUAGACAUGGUCCCACAAUGUGGAAAUUCCCCACUUUGGAUUGCAAACAUUGAUUAACCCACCAGUCUUUCUCUACCUCAAAGGCAUGAAUAAGUGUAAGAGGUGGAGAAUAACAUAACUGACGACAAAAGUAUGUUGCAUUCAAAUUGUAACAAUAAAGUCUAGUCUAUAAACAUAUCAGAAACAAGAAUAUACAUGAAAGGAAGGCUUUGUUAGCUUUUGUUUUUGGUGUUUCAUCUUCAAAAGCAUUGUGUAUUGAAUGGCUGUAUGGGCCUUGCAGGAAGAGAUUUCGACCUAGCUUACACUAAAACUAAUUUAAGAGCCAUUAAUCUUGGCAAUAAUACAACACUAUCAAUUUGAACUCAUCCAAAACCAAAAUAUAAUAUUAAUGAGUCAAACUUCUUAUAAUAACCGGGCAUUAACUAGCACGAAAUUCAAUCUGAACCAACACAUCAAGUGUGGCAUCAAAUUAUUAACACAAAAGUAAUAUCUCAUCAUAUAAUAAGCCUUGAUGAUUAUCUUCUCAGGUAGAAGAAAUACAAGAUACCAUCAUUCGUCGAUGAAGUGAAGACUCGUAUUGUUACAAUUUUUACUUUUUUUCUAAAUAGCAUUCAAGCUUUUCUCAAUCAUUUCUUCAAGAUCCUUCCUUGCCUUAAAAACUUUGAUCAAAAGUCAUAUAUUAUACUUUUUAUAGAUUAUAUAGCUUCCUUAAUUAAACAUCAUGAUUCAUGUAUAACUUUUGCAAAUACCUGAUGCAGUCAUACCAGUGCUAGGGAACUGAACCCCAUCAAACAGUUUCUUACAUAUUUCUUUAUUGAUAAGAUCUACCCCUCAAAAAUAUUUACAGAACACAUAAGAUGGAAUGCCUAACUACAUUGAUGUGAGCUAGCAUCACUUGAAAUCCAUACUAGGCAAAUCCUAUAGCUCUGAAGUCCUUAAGAAACUGAAGUGAAGCUAGUAGGCUCUUGAUAUAUAACAUGUGUGAGCCUGAAUUCUAAAAUGUUUUGAAAAAUAAUAGAUGCAUAACACCUCAAUCUUCAAAUAUUCUCUCAUUGUUCGAGAUAAAUAAUAGAGGACAGAACAAUAACCUGGAUACAUUAGCAAUCAACAAGGUAGUCAUGUGAGAUGGUGGUCUUAGGAUGUUAUCCAUCAGUUCUGAACAGUAUUUGACAACAUCAAGAUGCUAACCCUCUUUAGAUCAGUUGCUGAAGCAGAUAGUUGUCUCCUUUCCUCUUUUGGAAUGCAAUGCUGGACAAAUUGAUUAACCCUGUUCCUGAUGCCAUUCAGCAUGAGGGGAUUUUCUUUGUUAGCUUCAAGCUAACAAAAUCCUUAAGUUCAACGGGAAAGAUUCUGUCUUAUAUUUGAUAAAUCACAUCCUCACCCUAAUUAAGAGAAUGCUGCUUAGUAGUCAGAACAACCGUAGAUUCAACAAAUAAUUUAAAUUAGUCUAUUUGUGAUCUCUUCUGUCACUGGUUGUAGUUCAUUAUUUGUACAUGUCCUUAGUUUGAAUGGGAAAUCAAGGUUGACAAGAUGGAUAUUAACUAAUCCAUUGCAGAUGCUUUAUUGCCAAAUGCCCAAACCUCGCAAGCUACUACGUUGGAAACUGAUAGCUUCUCUAUAGUAGGAUCCACAUGCAAUAUAUUCACAAAACUUAAAAUGAACGCAAAUGACUGAAUGAUGUUCUUACAAAGCACAUCUUGUCUUGGGUAAAGGUUUUCUACUUAUUAGACUUGUCUGACAAUCCUCCUGCAUCUACCCUUCUUUUUCAUUAUAAAGGGUUUUUCUUUUGGGAGGGCCAAUAUAAAGGCAUAUGCACAAAAACUGAGAAAUACAACAUGGAUUCCGAAAUUAGAGACUCCAGAACGUACUGGAAUUGGUUAUUCAUACAAUACCCGACUUGUCAUCAACACAAUCGCCUUCCCGGCUUACCGGAAAGAAAGCCCAUGCCUUGUCAAACAAACCAUGGCAUACAAUUUUAACAGUUUAGAAUCAAGCACUGAAAGUUUCUACAAGCAGCAUACUAACAGCAUGAGAACAACAACCUAUCCAUAUAACUACUGGAUUAGGAAACUGGAAAAUGCACAUUACAUGUAGGUAAUUCUUCAAGUUACUUAUCAUCAAAAAAAAAAAAAUCAACUUUAUUGUAAAUUUUAGCUCAUUGUUUCUUGAGGAGUAGAUGCUACAAAAGUUCUGGUGGUUCUCAGCAAAAAUUAGAUGCGAAACUGAUCAUACAAGGAUUGCCACUAAGAAUCCAAAACCAAUUCUCUAUCCAGCUGUCCCUGCACUAAGGAUAAUCUCUAAAAUUGCUAACAUGUAUGCCCCGAUAAGACAGAUUGCAACAACUGAUAAGCACAGACACAUUUGGCCCUCCUUGAUUCAAAUAUUUUGGAAUCGGACUGGUACGUCUAGUGUGAUGACCUUAAAGAUCCACCAGAAAAGGAACGAAUCACAACUUGGUAAGGAGUAAGUGUCGAUCAAGAUAAGGAAGAGGGAGAAGAGGAACCUGGCGUAUUGAAGGGACCAGUAGAAAUACUGGCAGACCUUCUCCAGAAUGGGGGUGCUUAUCUCCGGAAACGUCACCUCUCCGAGCUGCGUCUCCGCGAAGCCACCUGCCAUAUACUAGACGUUUAAUGAGAAAACCUAAAAGGAAAGCAAGAUGGAAGCGAGAAACGAGAUGGUAGACCAGGGGAGGUGAGCAUGUUGCGGAUGGUGUGGGAGACCAUGGCGGCCUUCUUGUCGAUCACGAACUCGAACCCCUCCGCGCUUAUCAGCUUCACCGUCUCCUCCUUCUUCAUCCCUCCUCGUUGCCUCCUCCCCCCCACCCCUCGCCGCCCGGACCUUUAUCUCCCGUUUCGACCGGUUCCAAAUAUUUGCGUCUCCGCGUUGGAUUGCCGUGGUCGGUGCUUCUUUGUCAUGCGAAAUGGAUGCGGCGCAUCCGAUCCGUGUGCAUUGAUCAACAAAUGGAUGACCAGGCUUGCGGAGCAAGAUUUAUAUAGUCUAUUGGAAGGCAUAGCCCAAACGCAAUCCAUAUUACUCCGAGUUGUGUCGGAUUUCAAAGUGGUGUAACAACUUAGAACCUCAUCUAAAAUAAUUAAUCAAAAAAUAUUAUUUAGAUUUUUUGUUCUAUCCAACAUAUGCUCACAUACUUUUUUUCGUUUAACUCUCGACGUUCUCGUCAAGAUAAGAAUUCAAAUCCAUUCAAAUCUAACUAUAGUCGGACUCAAUAAAUUCGUACUACAGUGUUCCCUAGUCUACAUAAGUUAUGAAUCGGAUUUGUCCUGAUAUUAUUUGUAACAACUCAAAACCUCAUCAAAAAAACUAGCCGAAAGAUAUAUUUUGGGUUUCUUAUUAUGUAUAAGUACCCAAGUUCUUCUCGGCGAAUAAUUGAUGUGAUGCUAAACAUAUAUUCGUAUGAAUCUUCAUAGAUAUCUUGCCCAUUUCAAGUCAAUAGCGAAGGCUCGAACUACGCGAUCUAAUCAUGCCUCCAACUUAGAACAACGCUACCAGAUGGUGGUUUGGAAGGGGAACCGAGGAAGAUUUAUGAGCAUGCCAUUACGGUCCCUAGGUUACAUCAGCUUGGAAUGCACCCUAAACCAAGUGUUAAUCAGGUCUAACUUGUGCCUAGUUUAGCUUCAUCAAUAUGGUUGCCUAUGAGCAAAAAGUGGCCUUGAUACAGUAACUGUAAUUGUUCCUUAGACAAAGAUAGAGGUCCCUUGGGAUUUAUGUGAAUCACAUUACUCCAUCUUUGAAUGAGGUCAAAAAUUUUAUGCAAAGUCAAGAUUAUUUUUGGGUAAAAAUGUCAUUAAAGACCAAACUGUAAAAGGUAAUUAUAUCAACCAAUUCAAUAUUGUAUGAAUUUACAAUCCAUUAAACAAUUAAUUCAUAGUGCCAGACUCAAGGACUUUAGAUAUUUGAAGCUUUCUUAACAAAUACAUAAACACUAAGGAUUUACCAGAUCGGGCAUAAACGACUUCAUACCCACCAAAGGACGUGGACGGUAGAUCUUUAUUUUCGUACUGAAAAUCAUAUGCGGCCGCCCCUACAUCGAAUGUCAACGUGGACGGUCGAUCUUUAUUUUAUUCUUCCUUGCCGCCUACUUCGAUGCUAACGUGCGCUCACUGGAUUAAUAGAGUGAACAGAAAUUUAAAGAGUGAAAAAAAAAAUCCGGGAUUUAGUAACGCAUAAUAAUAGAAUAGAAUAAAAUAAAAUAAAAUAAUGGUUGGGCCAUUUCAAAUCAAAACGCCCUUUUUUUCGGUUUUCCGUUUCUCGCCGUUGGCAUUGGCACCUGCCUUCCCCUUCUGUCUCUCUGAUCCCCCCACCUCCUGAAACCAUCGAAUUUUCCGCUCUCUGCACCCUCCUUCGAUCGGAGGUAGGAUUUUCUUCGAUCUGAUUUCGACUAUUUUGAUUCCUUUUUUUUUUUGAUGCCGGUUUGACUUGGUGGCCAUUUUUUUAUGGUAUGGAUCGGGCUCAGAUCGGAGGGCAGAUAGGAGGAGGAAAAAGUUAUGGCGCAUCGAGUGGAUCAUGAGUAUGAUUACCUGUUCAAGAUCGUGCUGAUCGGUGAUUCUGGCGUGGGGAAAUCGAACAUCCUGUCGAGAUUCACCAGGAAUGAGUUUUGUCUGGAGUCUAAAUCGACCAUCGGCGUCGAAUUCGCGACCAGGACUCUUCAGGUCAGCACCUGUUUCCGAUCUCUGUUCGGGUUCUUGCUUUAUUUCAUUUAUUUGCCCUUUUCAGCGUGUACUCGGUUUUAUUGCUUCAUUUUGUUUAUUUGUUUGUCGGUCUGUUUAUUUUUUGUGGUGAAAUGAUCGUUCUCGGUUUCUUCGGAUAUAUAAAGAAUUCGAGGGGAAGGAAUCUGUUAUAGGCGCAAAAGCAAAAUUCCGUUCUAUUGGUUAUGCAACAGGAAUAAGCACGGCCACGAUCUCAAAUUUGAAUACGCUUAUCAAGUUUAUGUCCUUCUUGAUCGUCCAGUACUGUGAUUUAUCAACUUCAUUUGGUUUGUUUCUUUACUAUGGUAAAUCUCAUUACAAGAUCGAAGGUUGUAUUUCAUCGUGUGUUUUGCAUGUAAAUUUUGCACCAAUAGAUUCAUAUUGUAAAGAAUUGGUUCUGCGAUUUAUGUAAGAAUUAUCAUGGAUAACAGAAGAUUAAGUUUGUCUACCUUAUGUGUCUAAAUCCACAAUUCAUGUCAUUCAGAGGAGCAGCGAUGAAUUCACAAGUCAUGUAGGAGGACAAUGAAUCUAUAAGACAUAUGUAGAUGUAGCUGUGAACAUCUGAGGACUGGGAAAAGAAUGAUGCUCGAACUUUUCCUAGGUGAAACAAAAAUAACACUUCUCUCUUCCAAUCCAACAAUUAUUUCAAGUGAGUUUUCUUCUUGUACAUCUUGCUGAUUAGUUAGUCAAGAAGUGAACCAAAGUUUCCUAAAUAUGUAUCCUGCUGAUUUAUUUAGUUUUCUGUCCUUUGAGCCAUUUUGCUAGUCCUUAAGGGGCGAACUAAAGUUUAAACUAGUUUCUAUAGGUUAGUACUUAAUGAUGGAUGGCGUCAUGGCCUCUUUGUUUUUCCCUUUUUUUCAGAAUACUCAGGGUCUUAUGAGUUUAAAAACAUAUUAGAAUGGCAAUUCCAGCCACUUCCUUACUUUCGGCAUAUAGCCUAGGGAGAAGUUUCUGUUUACUUGUUUAUUCUGUAAGUGCAAGUUGCUCCAUAAAUAGAAUUGUUCUUCUGAUGGAUGAAUCUGCUAAACAUUAAUUGUUUGCUGAGUCACCUUAAUGUUUCUACCUAACAUAUUCUCCUCUUACAUCUUCAUUGUUCAGUUCAUACUAACCAUCUUCCUGAAAGAUUUUAUAAAAAGAAAUAUGUUUUUCUUUUUCCUUUAGUGAAUUAUGUUGCAAUUGAUGCUUGUGGAUGGUAACACGAGUAUGUAUUCCCUAAAGGAAUGCCAUGAUGCAUGCUUCUUUUUAAAUUACAUGUUAAUAUGUUUUUCACUACUUUUGUAGUAUGCAUCAUCAACGAAAUGGGUCUCUUAACCUAAAUUCAAAGUGGUAUUAAUUCCCCUGUUAACUGAUUAUUUAACCAUCAUACUUUAGUUUCUACUUCUUGCUUUAUUGAUGCAGUUGUCAGUGCUGCAAUAAUUUGAUAUUCUGAACAGAUAGAAGGGAAAACCAUCAAGGCACAGAUAUGGGACACUGCUGGUCAAGAGAGGUACCGUGCGAUCACCAGUGCAUAUUACAGAGGUGCAGUGGGAGCACUCCUAGUCUAUGACAUAACAAAGAGGCAAACAUUUGACAAUGUACAGAGAUGGCUUCGUGAACUUAGAGACCAUGCCGAUUCCAACAUUGUCAUUAUGAUGGCUGGUAAUAAGUCCGACUUGAAGCACCUACGAGCAGUUUCAGAGGAUGAUGCCCGGCUAUUGGCUGAGAAGGAGGGGCUUUCCUUUCUAGAGACCUCAGCAUUGGAAGCAUUCAACAUUGAGAAGGCAUUCCAGCAUAUUUUGACAGAGAUUUACCAAAUAAUAAGCAAGAAGGCACUUGCUGCUCAAGAGGCAGCAGGGACAGCAGGACCACCCAUUCAAGGAACAACUAUCAACGUUGCUGAUUCUUCAGGGAAUGUAAAGCGAGCUUGCUGUUCUACUUAGUUGAUUAAGUUCCAAAAAGGAGUGCGACAUCAAAGUGGAUCAGCCUUAAAGGCUUCAUAAGAAAUCAACCCAUGUGUAGAUUACUUUUCUACUUUUCCUUAUGCUUCAUUCUGCAGACUCUGGAAGUUAGAUUCCUCUUUUUGAGAAGAAAAUUUUCCAUUAAGAGAUUGAUGACCUGUGCAGUUUAGGUUGUUGAGUUCUUUUGUGCUUCUGUUUGUCAUGGCAUGGAAGCAUGGUAGAACAGUUGAGCACUGAAUUGAGCACUUUUGAGAAUGUGGUGCCUGUUUUAUAUUUUUGAUUUGAUUCUAACUUUUUAUAAUGAAGUUCCUUUUGCAUCACAUGAGUCUAUCAGCAGAUUAAGUCAUCAUCAAUUGGUUGGUCCAUUACCAUAGCAGCUACUCUGCUUAGCAAUUUUACAAGAGGUGUUUAUCAAGAGGUAUGUAAAAUCCUUUUAUUUUUCCCUUUUCAGUAUGCAAGAGGAAUUUAAAAUUUUAAUGAGUAAUCAAUGCUUAAUUAUUGCAAAUGCAAGAGAUGCAUGCCUAGCUUGCUGCUUGGUUGAUUUGAAAAGAAAAUACUUGGUAGAUUCUUUUUGAUUGGGUGAGGGAUUAAGGAGAACUGAGUUUAGCAACGGCAUGUGGUAGAAGAAUACAAGUUAGCUCAAGCAGUUCAAUAUUUUCACAUGGUUGAUCCACUAAUGAUCACAGGCAAUAUGCUCCCUGGGAUUUAAUGUUUGCAUGGACAGUGCUUGUGGCUUUUGACCUGGUUUGCGUCCAACUUGACAGAAGUCUUGAGGAUACUAAAUUCCGACAGUAGCAUAUGUUCAUUUUAUAGUUACUCAGGAGAUACAUCUACUAAUUUUUUUUCUUCUUGAAUGGGUAUUUUAGCUUCCAUGGGUGGCAUCCUGAACAUAGUUACAUUAAGUGGUCAUGAUCAGCUCAGACCGCCUAAUUAAAGUGGGCAACAAACCCAAAUGUUGUGUCGACCAGCAUAAGCUUGGAAAACAGCUCUUGGAGUGAUAGCUUUUGUAGAAACACUGGAUAUGAUGCUGUCUUUCGACAAACAGCACAAGUGACUUAGCAAAUCAUGGUCGUCCAGUGCAUAAGCAUCAACAUUUUUUCUAGAACUGGCCCUUUUCUGCACUAAAUAUGCCCCUUAAUUACCACAUUUUGCUUCAGGCUUUAAAAGUUGAGGGUUCUCUCUUCUGUUGCUCUCAGUCCAGAUAGUCUCAAUGUCCUUCCAAUCCACCAUGACUUCAUUUCUUCUUCCCACAAUAUGGUAUGCUGGUUCACCUGCAUGCCUUAAGAGCAGGGUAAUUUUAUUGGAUGUUGCACCACCUCACCCUAGAAGAGGCCCUAGCCAGCCAAUCAAGUGGAGCCAUGGAGGUGCUUCAUAAUCAUAGGUGAUUUUGGCGACCAAAUGACGGUCAAAGGUCGCGUCCUUUGCAUCUUUCUACCUUUUGCUUUGCUUCCAAUUUGAUAUAUGAUGCUGAUUCUUUGCUUAUUUAUUUGUAGAUUCUUGCGCUUCUUUCCACCUGUUCAUAUAGAAUGUGUAAGGAUAAUGGCUUUAUUUUCUAGUGGGAAACUGACCCUGUGGACGCAUUUAACAUUAAACUGCCUUUGCAUCUUGUUAGCUUUGGCUCUGAUUCUGAUUUUAUGCACCAUGCUGCUUUUCUGCAGAUUCCUGCACUUCUUUCCACCUGAUCAUUUAUAUUGAGUAUAAUGGUGUUCUGUGUCAUGCAAUAGGUUUGAAUUGCCAAAAUACCCAUCCUGUGGACCCUGUUUAUAGCAUUAAACUAGCUUUUUAUAUAUCUGUUAGAGCAAUCUAGCAUGGGGAGCUGCAUCUAAAAAAGGAAUAUGUACUUAUAUCAGUUGACAUGGAAUGAAAAAGUCAUACUAUAGCUCUAGAGCUGUCACCAAAUUGUGCACCGUUUAGCUAUUAACUAGUACUUGUUAUAGCUAGAGGACUUGGGUCUGUGCCAGUUGGCACACCUCUCAGUGCUUUUACUGGGAAAAAUUUGGGUUCAGAACAGAAGGUGAUAUUUCAUAGUAGUGAUCCCAAAAGAAGGAUUACUGUUAUUUAAUCCUAAACUUUUGAUUUGCUAAAUGAAAGCAAUUAGGCAUUGACUAAUCUUUUCGUGAGAAAAUAAGAUGUUCUUGAAUCUUCAACAAGAGGCCAUCUGUGGCUUAUUAGGAUUACAUGGUCCAAAUGACGAACUAUGUGUUCUAAAGUGAGGUUGAUGAUGCACUUUGAUAUCCUUGAGGAGCACCUACUGGUUUCCUGGUACAUUUUUGUUUUAAGUAAUGUAAAAUUGUAACCGAAUUAAUGAUCACUUAAACAUAACUGCAUGUUAUUUUUUGUAAAUCAGUGUGUAUUUCUGAAUGGAGAAUGUCUUAGGCAUUCAAUAUGGGGGAGUUGGACAUUUUCAUUUAAUUUGGAUGCAUUCAAUUUGUUUUGUGAGCUAAAUGGGGAUGGAGAUACCUUCAUGAUGAUCGAGCCCCUUGGAAAAAGCUGUGAUCUUGCUUCUAUUUUAAAAGGUGUAAACCUUCUGAUUGUUGGAAGCCAAAGCGGAAAUGCUCCGCUAUCCUCAAUGGUAUACUCUCUCCUCUUUGCAACCCUUUUAGAAUAAAUCUUCUUUUGUUGUUGGAAAUGGGUUGAAAGUUCUCUUUUGGAAGUACAAAUAGAUCCUGAAUCUACUUUUGAGGGCCUAAUUUCGCAACCUCUAUCAAGCUUCUAGACUCAAAUCUAGGUAUGUGGCUCAAUUCUUUAAUCGAAGAUCCAAUUCUUGGCACUUCCGGUGUGGGUCUUCUCUUUCGACUUGAGUCUACAACUGAACUGCAGCAACUGUCUAGACUUCUCUAUGAAAUUUGGUUAGAUCCAAAUCAACCUGAUGAUAUCUCAUGGUCCCUUGUUGUCUCUAGUAUAUUCACCACUCCAUCUCUGUGUAGCUUUCUUGACUCAACCGGAAUUAAAUGGGACCUUGCUUCUAUUAUCUGGAAACUCAAAGUCCUCUGAAAGUCAGAUGUUUCUUCCGGAUGGCACUCUUUGACAAACUUAAACAUCAGGGGAAACAUCUUGAAAAGAAUGGGUAAGUCCCAUGGUGGCUGACCCUAUUGCUCUGAUCCUCUAGAAACAAACAGUCAUCUCUUCCUAUGUUGCCGCUUUGCCUUUGAAAUGUGGAGCAUCCUUUGCUUGCACCUAAAUGUCCCUUGCCCAAAUGGUGAUCUAGAGGACUUAUGUACCAAAUAGGUAUCAGCUUACUUCUCAAGAGACACCCAUUCUGCAAUGCUCAUGCUAAUUGUGGCUUUUCUUUGGUGCAGCUGGAAGGAAUAUAACAAUCGAAUCUUUCUGAAUUGAAGUUUCCUAUCCUUAAUUAUUGUCUUCUUUGCUAUUAGCUUGGUUAAUAGCCAGUUAAUAUCCAUGAUCAUAAGUCCCUUCUUGGUUUUGGCAAAUUGUGGGAUUGUAUAAGGAAGCUUAGAGGAGCGGGUGUUUCCUCUUCAGAUGAGCAUAUAGAUGAUGCCUUCUUUCUGCUGCUACUGGUGUCUGGCUAUGUGACUCUCUGAAUGAGAGGAAGCCCUGCUAUUCUGCUUUUUCUUUUGUUCGGUUCCCUCUAAAGGAGACUAUGAUAGAAUCUCAAGCAAAAUGAUGAUCCCUGGAUCUUCUGUGAUGUAUGAGCUACUUUGUCAGACUUCUCUAUCUUCUUAGUUCUUUUUCCACUUCUACUCUUUACCAUGUUUGUUGCUUCAAGCUCUAGCGGCAACAGUUCUGUAACCUCAUUGGGUCUCUUCCUUCCUCUUUUCUCAUAUAAAUUCCCUUUUCAGUCAUCCUGGAUGUAUUUGAAACUUUUCUUCUUCUUUAAUAAAACUUCUAGUGACUAAUGUGGCUUAUUGCCCGUUAGUCUCCUUUAUUUUGCGCAAAAGAAAAAAAAUAUUUUGCAAGGAAAAAGGUCGCUACAUUUCACUCAAAAAAGAAGAAAAAAGAUUUUUUUGGUCAAAAAAGAGAAAAAGUUUACGACAAAGCGAUACCCCAUCGAAUCUUUUGUAAAAAAUCACUAAAGUAAAAACAAUUCAGAUUUCAGAUGUACUCUCUAUGUAAUUUGGUGUAAGCUAAAUCACAUUAUCAUUGCUAUAUGAAUUCAAGACAAUAUAAUUGCAAGGGUCCAGAAAAGUUGACCUGGAUUCUUAUGAGCUCUUUUUCUUUGGUUGGUCCCAAGUGCUCUUGUAGGUGGUGGCAUUCUUGUGGCUCACAUUAAAUGAAGAAAGUGAACCAGGGAGAGGAUCAGGAAGGACGUCGCUCUCCAAGUACUCACUCUUGAGCACUCUCUUCGCUCAGCAACAAAAAGUCUGCAUUCAAAUCUUCAAUGAUAAAUUUUCAAAAAUUUCAGACUGGAUAAUUAUGGCGUACAUGGAUAAGUCUCGUCAGAACUUCGGAUUUCACAUAUAUUCUUAUGGAUUUUAAUGCAAGUUAAAUCACUUCGUCGUUGCUCAGUAUAUAAAUUCGAAACAAUAAUCAUAAGGGUCCAGAAAAUUGUCCUGGAUACUUAAAAGAGCUCUUCUGUUCUCUUUAUUCUUUUCGAGUGCUCUUACACGUAGUGGUUCUCUUAUGCUUGCAACGACCACCAAGAAAAAGUGAACUAGCUAAAGGUGGGGUGGGUCAACAAGGGCAUCACUCUCCGAAAUCGCAGACCUUUUUGAAUAAACUAUUUGCUAAGCAAUAAAAUGUUCAGCGUUCAAAUCCUGAAUAGCAUAUUUUCAAAAAUUUAAGAUUGGAUGGUUAUAGUGCGUGUAAGUCUCUCGUCCUUCAUCUCAAAAGAAAUAUCAAAGAGGAGCGGAUUCCUCAUUUCACUUUCAUCAUAUAUUGCUGUCAGAAGUUGAAGAAUGGUUAUCUUGUUUGUAUAUUGGUUGCAAUUUGCAUGUGUGAAAAUGACUUCAAAUGAUGGGACAUGCACCGAAUAACCUAAAUAUAAUAUUAUCUACAAGAAAUUAUGUCCUACAGCAUAUAGACUGUAUAGACCGUAUAGCCGUGUACCAUGCCUAUCACAUGCCCUCGUUCCUAUGGACCUCAUUCAUCAAUGGGCCCACAGGAAUGAGAGCAUGCAAUUAUGCUCCCAAACCUAGUUGGUUUAGUAGAGAACUAAGACAAGGUAUGAUGACUGAUGCCUUCUGCUGCCACAUUAAAUCCAGCCAAGAAGGGAAAUCGCUAAAGAGUGACUCAGGCUUUCUGAAAUAUGUAUCUCAUGGUUCAUCACUCUUUAAAAUAGCUGGUGGGAAAGGUUGGAGUCUAGAAAAAGGAUAAGUCAGGGAAGCUUCUCUUUCUCCCUCUCCCUCUCUCUGUUUUUUGCUUUCUUUUUUUUAAAAUUUUUUUGGCAAUAGCAUGAUAAUGCAUUACUGUCAUGUUAUAUGUGACUUGGAUUUACCAUGUGUGAUGCAUGCAAAUGGCCUGCUCGAGGUGGGGAACAUGGGAUAAAGAUGUACCCUCAGAGUUUUAUUUUUUAUUUUUGAAAGCAUAGCUUCAGAGUUCUUAAUGAUUAUAAUAUUACGGACAAGGUGAGAAAUAAUUAUUUUCAUCUCCCACAGUACCCAUCUUUCGCAAGCACAAGAUCAUACCUCUAUAUUUUAUGUGGAUAUGGUCUGGUUAAAGCUAGCUAACUUUACCAUACAUGGCUAUAUAUAUACACCAUCCACCAUCUUAACUUGUUCCAUUCAUAUUCCCAUGGAGUACUCGGAUUCUCGUCUCUACAGCGACCGGGCAUUCUUCAAUUCGGAGAUGAAAGCAAAGGCCAUGAUUGCGAAAAAAAGGGAGAAUAUGUCGCUUGAAUGGAUGUUAUACAAAGAAGCCACAUAGCUCCUUUUACACUCGGCCUCUGCACCGGCCUCAUUCUAUUCUUAAACUCUUUCCCUCGGUAUCUUUUUAACUCUGCAUCUCUAUCUCCUUCAGCUACAGUCCUGCUUUCAUCCAUGGAACCAGGUAGGCUUGACAAGAAGGCGCGAGUACUGGAGUCAGAAGUCGACGACAAGAAAUGGGUCCAUGACUCAUCCGUUGAUCACAAGGGGAGGCGGCCUCUCAGAGCCUCAACUGGUGUUUGGAAAGCAUCCUUCUUCAUCAUAGGUAACAGCGAUCAUUCAUAAGCCCCGCAGAUGGUCGCGAGAGGAAGUGUCCUUAAUUACCACCUGAGUUUUCCUUUGAUGCUCUAUUCUAUUCCUUUGAGGUGUGUGCGGUUUCUCUCAUGCAGCGAUAGAGUUCAGCGAGAGGCUGAGCUACUUUGGGCUGGACAGCAACCUCAUCAUAUACCUGACCAAGGUGCUGCACCAGGAGGUGAAGACGGCGGCCAAGAACGUCAACUACUGGUCAGGGGUCACCACCAUGAUGCCGCUCCUCGGCGGGUUCAUCGCCGACGCCUACCUGGGGAGGUUCUCCACCGUCCUCUUCUCCUCCCUCAUCUAUCUCGCGGUGAGACUGCAACCUUUUCUGCUUCCAUUCAUCUAAGGCAGCCAGUAGUAGCGUGGUCAGGCACCAGGGAUAUAUUCCAACUUCCACGUUGCAAACAAAAGCGAAUUCGGAAACCGAUCCUCCUUUCGCAAAGAAAAGAAAGCAACCAUGAGUGGUUGUGGAUAGCCAUGAUGAGCCCCCACUAUUCCGAAAUUCUCAACCACCCCCAUGCGCUUCACGCUUACCAUGGGCUGGUUCAGGCCCGGCAUUUGCAUUGCUAAUACCAUUGGAUGCAGACCAAGACAUAUCGAAUGCAAAUAAAACUUCACAUUAGUCAAGAAGUAUCUAUUGGAAUAUAAGCAUUUAUUCUACGAUAAUCUAUCGGAAUAUGUCUUUUUUCCCAGGGCCUGAUCCUCUUGACUUUGUCGCAACUGGUCCCGAGCUUGAAACCCUGCAACCCGGAGACCUGCCACAGAUCGUUGCGACUUCAUGAGCUCGUCUUCCUUGUGGCCAUGUAUUUGAUCUCUGUAGGCACAGGGGGGCAUAAGCCAUCGCUCGAGAGCUUCGGAGCGGACCAAUUUGACGACGAUGAUGCGGAGGAGAGGAAGAAGAAGAUGUCCUACUUCAACUGGUGGAACUUUGGGCUGUGCUGUGGGCUGCUGCUGGGGGUCACUGUUGUUGUGUAUAUCCAGGAUAAGGUGAGCUGGGGUGCGGCUGACAUCUUGCUAACCUCGGUAAUGGGCGUCAGCCUGGUGAUAUUCUACCUGGGGAAGCCAUUCUAUCGGUACCAAGUACCAAGUGGUAGCCCUCUGACUCCCAUGUUACGAGUGUUGGUGGCAGCCGUGGCCAAGAGACACCUUCCACAUCCUUCGGAUGCUGGGGAACUGCACGAGGUUCCUAAGUCACAAAAGAGCGACAAGAGGCUUCUGUCCCACACUAAUCAGCUCAGGUAAGGUCCCUGAUAUAUCGAUCGCAGAUGUUUCACUAAUUAAUUAUUCUUUUAGCGCACACCAGAUUAUUUUGCCACUCUAUAUAACUUCUCAUAAGGCUUCUAGACAUUUAUGCAAAUCUAUCCAUCAUCAUUUUUCACUUGGAUUUAUGGUGGUAGUAUUAAAUUUCAGAUUUCUCGAUAAAGCUGCCAUAAUCGAGCACACAGAGGACGAGUCGGCCUUGGCAGCCGAGGAGCUAAAUCAAUGGCGACUAGCGACGGUAACUCAAGUCGAGGAGGCGAAAUUGGUCCUUUCCAUGGUCCCUAUCUGGCUUGUCUCCUUACCGUUUGGCAUGUGCGUGGCACAAGCCCCUACCUUCUUCAUCAAACAAGGAAGCAUAAUGGACCGAAGACUAGGCGGCAGCAGCUUCGAAAUCCCUCCAGCCUCUAUAUAUUCCCUCGGUGCCAUGGGCAUGAUCAUCUCCGUUUGCUUCUAUGAGAAAAUCCUCGUACCCUUCCUGAGACGAGCCACAGGGGAUGAGAGGGGCAUCAGCAUCCUUCGAAGGAUCGGAAUUGGCAUGGUGUUCUCGGUCUUGGCGAUGAUCGUUGCAGCCAUCGUGGAAAGCAAGAGGCUGAAGGCGGCCCAGGGGGAGCAAGCCAAUGCAGUCUCCAUGAGCGUCUUCUGGUUAGCCCCUCAGUUUACGAUCCUGGGCGUGGGUGAUGGGUUCGCUCUCGUGGGCUUGCAAGAAUAUUUCUACGAUCAAGUGCCUGACAACAUGAGGAGUCUGGGAAUAGCCUUCUAUUUGAGCGUGAUAGGGGCCUCCAACUUCCUCAGCAGUCUCUUGAUCACUGCUGCGGACCAUUUGACUGAGAAGGGAGGGAGGGCAGGCUGGUUUGCCAAGGACUUGAACAAGAGUCGCCUCGAUCUUUUCUAUUGGUUGCUUGCUGUAAUAGAUGCAGUAAGCCUCUGUGGCUACGUAUACUUAGCUUGCAGGUACUCUUACAAGACUGUGCAGAGAAAAAAUGGCUCCCCUAAGGCCCCAACUUCCCUGAAGAAGAUGGACGGGGAAUCUGGGAUGUCUUCAGAUGUCUCCACUGUAUAGCAUAAUUGUAGCUGGUUGGGUACGUAUAUACGGAAAGCAAAUAAAUACCAUGCAUAUUCUAUUUAUAUGAUGCAUCAUUUGUCAAAAGGAAAGGGCAACCAGAACUAUUACAUGGAUGUGCAAUAUUUUACAUUAAAAAAAAGGAAGAAGAAAAAUCCUCUACAACGUACGGAUAAUAGCAGCCAGGGCAAAGGGGAAUGGAAUGAGUUACAAUAAAGUGGUAAUGACAUUCUAAAUAAUCUUAGUUGAUUCUAUGAAGAAGAGCAAGAAAUAAUUGUUUGUCUCCUACAUGCUGGCAUGUGUUUAGUCCCACAUCGAUUUUUCACCAGAGAGAUCUUGAAUAUUUAUAUAGGACUAAAAAAUUCAAAAAAUAUCUUUAUGCUAGCCUUUUUGGGUGAGGUCCUAAGUUGUUACAUGUGGUAUCAAAGCAUAAAUUUAAGGUCAAUCUGGAUUAUAUUUGAUAUUGACAUUUUCGGAUACUACAAAUUGGUGAAUCUAUAUUAGUAUAUUUAAUUUUAUAUUUAAAGCUAUAAAUAUGCAUAUUGGCCAAAGUAAACUGACCCAGAUCGUCGGAUGCUGCUACCUAGUCAAUCCUAUCUUUCCUUCACUUUGACUUUUAUUGGUUACCAUUGAACCCAUAAUUGAUAAUCCCUGAUCUAUUACCUUUAUCUUGAUUGGAUAUAUUUUUUUUGAUCAGAUGAAUUGAGUUGCAUUGUGCUAACUCGAAUAAUUGGGCAUUGUCAUCUAGCUGGCCUCGUACUUCAUUUUAUACAAAUCUAUUUUCAUACUUAGCCCUAAUUUUGUAUGGGGCCUCGUACUUCAUUCUAUACGAAUCUAUUUUCAUACUUAGCCCUAAUUUUGUAUGGGUCAAUGAUCUCCAUCUGUUGAUCAUGAGGGAAGGACUACUUUUAGAGCCUCCACUGGAAUUUGGAAAGCAUCCCUAGAAUGAGCCUUGAGAAUGAUUAGAAAUCCCAGUUUUCUUCCUAUUUUAUUCAUAAGUUAGAUCAUAAUAUAUUACUGGCUAAUUAGGGAAAACAUAACAACUACCUGAUUAAACUAAUAUAAUAUAUAUAUACAUAUAUGAUUAUGUUGGUGCAUCUUUUAUUUAGUGCUAAUUGAUAUAGAAGCCUGGCUCCGACUUUCUUAUGUUUGACAUUAAUACAAAAAAAGACAAAUGCAUUAAAAAAAACAAAAAAAGAGAAACGCAAAAGUUUCAUGAUCUUCUCCUUUAUUACUUGUGAUAAUUAGUCUUUCAUGCACACAAAAUCAUCACAACAACCUAUUAAUCUCUAAUCAUCAUCAAUGGAGAUAUAAAAUCAUGCUUCCAUGAAACUUUAUUGGCCUCCAACUCCCACAAACUUAGGAAUGACUCGGCCAAACUCUACAACAAUUUGGUCCAACUUGGCAAUGACUCGGGCUAACUUGGUUGAGUUUAGAACUUGGAUAAACAAAAAAAUUAGAUUCAUGACUCCGCCAACUUUUUUAUCUCAUUGAUUCAACUAAAUCGGAAUCAGCAAAACUCGGCCAAGUCUUGCUCUUAUUUUUAAUACUAAUUGAGUCAUCUUGACUUUUUUGGCUCAAUAAGGUUUUUGACUCCACUAGGCCAAGUCAUGAGUUUGACUCAUCAAUUUUCCCUAGCUUGUAAGUUUGACCUCAUUCAGAGAUCCAUGGAAAAUAUCUUUAAUUAGAAUAGAGAAAACAGGAUCAAGUCUACCAUCCAUCUUAUGAACAGUUCAUGAAACCCAUAGCGAUGAAGGACCAUAGAUAGAUAUAUAGGGUUAUUUGAUGAUUGUAAGGCCAUUCCAUAUCAGCUUUAAUAACCAUGAGGGUUUUUUUUGAAGCAUUUACAGCUGAAUGCAUAAAUUUCUGUGCCCCCGGAGAAUUGUCAGAGAUUUUCCCAUCUUGAAUGAAUGUUCCUUGCUCUUCAGAAACCAGUUUAGGCAACAAAUCCUUCAUUCAAACCAGCAACAUGUUGGCCACAAUUUCAUAUACUUAAUUACAUAAGCUGAUUGGUCUGUAAUCCUUGCAUUGUCCUGAGUGAUUCUUUUUUGAAAUUAAGGUGACAAAAGUUGCUUUCGAGGCACUGAGCAUAUUCCUAGUUGAGAAGAACUCCUUCACAUCCUCCACUACAUUAUUUUUGGUCAGGGACCAAACGAAUUUGAAGAACCUUGGCUAGAGUCCACCUGACUCAGAUGCCCUAUCAUUAUCCAUACUACACGCCACCAAUUCUAUUCCCCCGCUAUGACUUUCAUCAUAAUAACUCAAUUAAGCAUCAGAUACUUCUUCUGGAAUUGAAGGGAACUCAGAAUUGCAAUGUCUAAGGUCCAAAUUCCAUUUCUCAAUCACAUUCCCAUCAGAUCGAACUAUGCAGGCAAUUCUAUUCUUCAUCAUCAUCAUCAUCAAGAUGUUUUCUUGUUCAAGUGUGGGAGUUAUUUUUAAUUUUUAUCAAAAGAAAUAGUUGAAAUAAAUGGGAAGAAAUGGAAAGGCCAAGAUAGAAAAGAGUGAAUUAAUUCUAGAUUUUUGUCUCCGUAAUAAUUCUUGUGGGUGCAAGACCUUGUUAUAUGGUAAAAAUAAUAGUAACUUUGAGAACUACGGAGAUUGCUGAUCCCAGGAUCCUGCAGCCAUUGCUUUUGCCAAGGCUAUCAUGUGAAAUAAGGGCCAUAAUUUGUACUAACUUGUCACAAUACAACAGCGGAAAAAGUGUUGGGCUUGAGGCACAUCACACCCAUUUGAUAGAUUGAUGUAUAGGGUUUGAUUCGAGAUGUGCACGAAAUAUGGUUUCCCAUGUUCUGGUCACGUGCAUCAUGCAUGAUACAAGGCUCCACGCUGCAUUGGAUCAUCAAAUCGUUCAUGUUGGACCCAACCUACUUCCAUGGGCUAGUGUUUGACUGGCCUGGCUGAGUACCAUACUCUUAGCCCAAGCCGGUCUGAGCUAGAUUUAUUCCCACCUUUGUGUAAUUACCCAAGGAAGCCGGCAACCCCCAUUUCUUGCCUACCAAUUAUAAGUAUUUAAAGCAUGGUUCGCUAUACCAGUCCGAACGAAGCAGUAUGAGAUGUAUCAUACUGUACAAGUACUUGGUAUAGAUGGUGUACCAGACAUUCGGUAAGCUGAAAAGGCUCCAUAUCGCACCGACAUGGUAAUAACAUGGUACCAGUACCGAAUCGGCAAACCUUGAUUUGAAACUCAAUAUUGUGGAUCAAUAGCACUUAAGCCCAAAAUCAUAAGCCCUCUCAUUUUGGAACCAAGAGGCUUUGACCACCGAGGUAUAUGUUUUAAUGGUAUUUUCAAGACUAAAACACUAGCAACAAAAAAUCCAUUAUAUCAACCAAUAAUAGAUUUUAUCCUUGUUCACAAAACUUUUUUUUUCNGUAGGUAUAUAGGUUUCAAUUAAAAUCAUCUUUUUAAGGUAUGCAAAAUGUCAAAUACUAACUUCUAUUUUAAUUAUGUAAAAGUUAUUAUAAGGUAAUAGAUAUACAUGACAUAAUAGGAUUCGAAAUCCAGGGGCAAUAGUAGCUGAUUCCUCAUUGUCAUGUAGUCUGAAAAAUGAAAAUGAAAUACAGAUAAAAAGAGGGCAUUGUUAACCAAGUGUCAAAAUAAAGUGUGAAAAAAGAAGAUAAUAGAAGGAAUCUAAAGUAAAAAAGUUUCAUUAUUAGUUUUCCUUUAUACAUUAUAUAAAUAAAAUUUCUGCUAUGGAAAUGAUGUUUGGACUAGCCAAAGAUUCAUCAGGAUUCAAGUCAAAUUUCAAAAAAAAUCCACAAUCCAUUAGCAUAUUAUAUGUAUACUCAAGUUUGUCCGAAAUUAUAAAGAAGAAUCCGUCCUACAUCCUGUAAAGCUGACACCCGGACACCCAGGAGACGCACAGCAACCAAAUGAGCCGCUGCUUUGAUAUUCGUGCAUGUACUGGAACUCGGCCGGCCGUCGUCCUCCAUCUCAAGCAAAAGAUCCGCAGGCGUUGGAGAGUUGCUAUUCUUUUACACCAACAAAGCAAUCAAACCCCAAUUAAAAGACUAAAAAAACAAGUGUAAACCUAAAACGAAGGCAUCUCCAUCUACGGUAUUCUUCCUGUCUCUCUUGAAAGCAAGCAAAGCCAGGCUUCUGAUGAGCUCCGGACGUAAAGGGGCAAAAGGCGACGUCACCGGACUCCCUUUUCCACAGUGGACAAAGGCUAGAUCUAAUUAUUCCUCAGUAAAACCCAGUGCCGAUUUCCUGUAUUGGAUCUCGACACGUGGAUAAUGAUGCCUUAUGACAAUUUAAUAGACCUCUCUGUAAUAUGAACGAGCCGUCUCCGUUCCCCAAAUCUGGCCGUAAUCAUCACAAUCUGUAGACGUACACGCAACGAUGGAACAUGUCCAUCUCUUUAUUCCCUACCGUUGGUCUAUUUCCAUCUGAUGCAUGUUAAAUAGUAAAAAAAAUUUGAUGUGGGUCCCGGCGUAGCUACGGUCUGAUGUAACGUUUCGUUCGUACCAGGUCCCACCAGCACAAUCAGUAAAGGUACCCGGCUGGCCACCUUAAUUAUUAAGCAGCCAAAGGCUGUGAUCCUCCAACGGUGCAAGUAACGUGUGCGAAUCGCUGUAUCGGUGUUCUACUGCACCAGCGUUUCAGGCGUCAGCGUCAUUGCCUUCCAAUAGCAGGUCCAUGACCGUAAGGAUUUCUAACCGCCUUUCUUUUAGAAUAAAAAAUAUAUUUUAUAUUUAAUUAUUUAUUUUAAAAAUAAAAAUAGUUUUUUAUAUAAAAAAUAUAUAGCAAAGAAAAAUUAUGAAAAACAUUUAUUUUCAUUGGUUGGAAAUUAUAGAAUUUUUUUGAAAAAUAUUUUUAAACUUUUAAAUGGGAUAGAAUUUCUUUCUUUUUUUAUUAAAAGCUUAACAAAUAUUUUAUAGUAUGCCGCUUUAGCUUCUCAAAAAAAAUGUUUUGAUAACUUUUUUUUAUAAAUUAAAUAUUUUUUAUUAAAUUAACAGGAAAAUGCCUGAGUGUGAAAUUAGAGAAGCAAAGAGAAUGGUGCACGGCACUUACGACUUUUUUUCAAGUAAUUUUUCUGAGUUACCGUUGCAUUACUCGGCUCUUUGUAGCAUCAUUUAUAAUUAAACAAUAUCUUAACUAACUAGGAGCAGAAACCAUGAAAUGCACUGUAACUGAGAGAAUCUAGCAACCGGCACAAGUUAGCCACCGCCAGGACUGUUCCUUCCAAAAAAAACAAUGCUCCACCCCAACCCCUUUUCUCCGUCCAUCAACUUUCUCCACUUUAAAUUCUUAUCAUAACCUGAUUCCCCCAAUCCCCAUACCCCUAUCGCUUUCACUGCUCGCGCUUCCCCCUCACUUUCUUGCCCCCUUUGCAGAAAGGAAGAGCGAAAGAAAAAGAAGCGGAAGUGACGGACAGCCCUUCUCUCCACCUUCACUCUCUCCAGCGUUUUAAAGCAGAGAAAGAGGAGUGGAAGAAUACGACCCAAAGCGAAGAAACAACAAGAUGUCGUCGGCGGCGGAGGGCUACGGCGGCGGUGACGGAGAAGCGGAGCAGCUGCUCUACCACUACCACCAUCAGACGUACCACGUGCCUCAAUACAGCCGGCGAGAGAAGCUCCGGUUCCCACCGGAGGAAUCCCCGCCGCCUACCUCCUUCUUCUUCCACCACGAUCCCAACUCUCUCACCACCUUCCUCCCAUCCUCCUCCUCCUCCUCCUCCUUGUCCUAUUACUCUCCAAACCCUAGCGAUACUUUCUCUCCAACCACCCAAUUUUCGGGCCAUCAGGGCUUCUCCUUGUCCCUUGCCUCCUCCCCUUCUUCUUCCAAGCCUCCUCCGCCUUCUUUGCCCCACCUCCAGUUCACGGCCGGGCCCGCGCCGAGGCCGGCGGGGCCCUUCACUGGCUACGCCGCCGUCCUGAACCGGUCCCGGUUCCUCGAGCCCGCCCGGCAACUUCUAGAGGAGAUUUGCGACGCAGGACGUCGACAAGGACUAAGUGGUGGUGGCGGGGGAAUGCUCCUCGAUGCCGAUCCGCCGGAGCUUUCGUCGUUGGAUCAUCAUAAGAUGGAGGGGUUGGCUGGAGGAGAGGUAGAGGGCCGGAUCUCGGGGACCGAGCAGCAGUGGAAGAAAACGAGACUCGUGUCCAUGCUUGACGAGGUGGGAGUCUAGCUCUUGAAACAACUUCGCCUGCUUUCUUGGAUUUUUGUUCUUUUAUUUUUCUGUUCUCUAUUCAUAUGAAAGGACUUGCUUUGUCUCAGUUCUCUCAUCCAUUUAUGCCAUCUUCUCGAGGCGUUGCAUAUAUUCAUAAACAAUGGCUGUGUUCUUUCAUGUCAGAAGAUUUUGGUUGCAACUCGUGGAAUCUUGUUACUGUUAAGAGAUCAUGGUCAUGUCGUGAACUUAUGGCAUGGUUAUAGCUAUCAUUACUUGAUAUAAUCUUUGCUUGCUUAUUUUGAAGAUGGAAGAUUUUUAUCUUUUAUGGUGUCGGUGAUGCUACUGCUCAGCCCAAGCAUAGUUCUUUCAGAUCAAUGAAGUAUUUCUUAUCUGUGACUGUUUGUCUUACUCCUGUUCUCCUACUUUUGAUUUGUUUAAGCUAGGGCUGAUUUGAUAUUCCUGAAAUCAGGCCAUGAUUUUGCGAGAACCUGUAAAUGCUGGUCAGUAGCUUUAGGUUAUUUUUCUUGAAAAAGAAUGCUCUUGUUAAUUAGCUAGCAUUAGUCGUGAUAAUCUUUUUCUUUGUUAGAUUAGUGGUGGUAAUCUUUACCAGGAGCUUGAUAUUAUGAUAUUCCCAUAUGAUUAGAAGGAAUAUGUCCAGCUUGUUUUGUAAGAGAAAACAAAUUGAGAUGAACGUGUUUGCUACUCAUUAUGGAAUGAGUAUCAUGUCAUGGGCGAAAUUUCAGCGACAGUUUUUAUAUCGUCAAAAAAACUCCACUCAUAAUUGUGCCACAUCUGGAAAAUUCGGGUUGAAUUUGUGAUGUGAAGUGUCUAAAAAAGUUGAGAGAAGUGCAUUUAAUUUACUCAAUUUUUUCACAGGCUUAAAUGUUGCUUCAUGAGGUAGACUUUGACAUAUAUAUUGCAGUUACCAAAGUGUUUUCUGCGACUCAUUUAUUUCUGAGAUGAUUCUACCUUUUUAAUGCUCUACUCAUCAAUGAAUUGCGUUCGGCAAUUAUCAUUAAUUGAGUUAGUUUGUUCAUAUAAUUAGCUUUGCUCUUUUAAUAUGAAGAAUGACAUAGUAUUUGACCUCGCGAGCUGCGGGAAUUCUUCAUGCACCUGUGCAGAAGCUUAUUCUUUUGCGUUUGAUGACCUUUGAAUUGCUUAGCAAGCAUUCCAAAUUUCAUAAGCUUCUCAUGUUUAUGUUACAACUGUAUGACCUUUAACUUGUGGUGUGGGUAUCAUCAUGGUAUUUAACAUUUUCGCUAACAUAAACGGUAGACUGACUGUAUGGCUGAUCUGCAUUGGAAGGGCAAACUUCAAGGAUUUUGUGAUAUGCUUUUCAUCUGUUAUCAUGAAAACAUCUAGAAACUUGGCGGUUCUUCAUACUGUCAGCUGCGGAACGCAGUCUCAAGUAAAUUUGAUAGCAACUCACCCAGAUUUCUUGCAGAAUAUUUGCUUGAUGCAAUUUUAAGCUAUAGAGCAGUCUGCCAUAAAAUCAAUAACCCUAUUUUGCAGCUAAGGGUACUUCCAUUAUUCUUUGUAGUCGAAGAUCAUGCAACUGAGAGAUGAAAGAUCUGAACUUAUCUAUAAUUUGAAAAGUCUACAAUAAGGUAGAAAGAUAACAAAAAAUUGAUAAAUCUAUGUCUCCAGGGAACAAUUGUAAGCCAAAAUGUUUUAUUGAAAUGCAAUCUGCUGCAUAUCCUUAGUGGAUCUUAAAUGAUUUCUUUAAAUUUGUUCAUUUCUUUGGUCCUUCCCAGGUUAUCUAUUUUCUGGAAAUAAUCAUCAUGUGGGUUCUUUUUUCCUUGUUGAGUUAACUAGACUUGCAUUCAGAAUUAUAUUAAUUCUUUAUUAAAUUGCAGCUCUAUUGGAUUUGAUUACAACUCAAGAAGCAGUUUACUGUAUUAAAAUAGUUCAUGCAAGCUAUUUUGUGGUCCUACUGUCAUUUCUUUGUUUCCUUUUGUAAUUUACCCCAUUGAUUCUAUUGUAGGUCUAUAGAAAAUACAAGCAAUAUUAUCAACAGGUGCAAGCUGUCAUCACAUCAUUUGAAUCUGUGGCGGGCUUGAGGAUUGCAGCUCCGUAUGCCUCCAUGGCCCUCAGAACCAUGUUGAAGCACUUCAGGUGCCUCAAAAAAAAAAUAUCUAAUCAACUAAGUUACGCAAACAAGGUUCUUAGGUCGACAGAAGGCCUCAGUAGAGAAGAGAGCUCAAGCUUUGGCCUCAUUAGUUGUGGUGUUGGUCUCCAAAGAGCACCAAACGACUCUGGCACUUUUGGUCAGGCAAAUAUUUGGCGGCCUCAACGAGGACUUCCUGAACGUGCGGUGUCCGUCCUUCGUGCAUGGCUAUUUGAACACUUCUUGCACCCGUAAGUUUCUAAACUCCUGGAACUGGUUCUGAAAUAUAGCUGAGAGCAACACCUUAGAGGUGGGCUUCUUCCUUCUUCGUUGGUUUAUGGUUUGAAAUUUUUUUGCUCGUCAUGGUUGAAUAUAUUUAUGAUAUCAACAUUUGGAGAGGACACAUUCUUCUUGCGUCAACAUUUUUAUUGAGAUACAGUCCGAUGGAGGAUUUUUUCACUUAUUAUGUGCUAUAGAUGCGAUCAUGUGAAUAUAGUAUAGUAUCUUUUGAGUAUGACAAUAUGAUAAGGCAUUGUUUAGUAGAUAUUGCGAAAAAUCAGUGGGAGUAUCUAUGUUUUGGGUUGUUUUAUAUUAUCAAUAAAAAGAAAAAACAUAUUGGCUUAUUUGCUUUGCUGAUGUAACCAUGCUCGCCUUCCAUAUUUUUUCUCCAAAAAUCCAGUGCCUUGCUUCUGAACCACAAGGCAAUAAAAUGAGCGGCAAAUAAAUGGUUAGAUUUAUUUUGCUCAAAACUUUCGUUCUGUGCUUGUCUUUUCGAGAUAUAAGCAUGCAUCCAUUGAUAUGUUCCAUUACUGUUUUCUAGGUAUCCGACCGACACCGACAAGCAAAUGUUGGCUAAACAAACAGGUCUAACAAGAAACCAGGUACGUAAAAUCUACGUACAUGCUAAAUUUACUUCAUUGUGAAUCGAUGUUGUUCAAAUACUCGAGCAUGGCUCUUCUUGUCUGAUUGAAUGAGGACUUUUUGUUGGAGAAAGUGCCACUGGCAGUAUGGCUGUUGCAUAUUACCCUAUAAUCACGAUAUGACUAAAAAGUAGGACCCGAUUGACUCCUACGAGGGGAAAAAACCGACAUUUUUAAUAGCACCAAACUUUUCUCUCCUCUUACAUGGAUGAUAUGCCCCCUUUUUUUGCCUGAUAUACCCCAAUUUGCCUUGAAUGGACUGCCUUUACGCUUGUUCAUCCUUACAGUUUUACAAUAUCUUGUACCAAUCACAUAUUUGAUUCAAACAGGUCUCAAACUGGUUUAUCAAUGCAAGAGUAAGACUUUGGAAGCCAAUGAUCGAAGAAAUACACACUCUCGACAUGCGACAACUGCAUAGAGCCCCAGCAGCUGAUAGAAACCGUAAAACCGAAGAGCAAACUCAGGUUCCAUCAGCAUCUGUUGCACCUCCGUCCAGUUCUCAACCUCUCUAUGCCAGCAGCAGCCAAAAGAAUCAAAAUCCAUCCACGGAACUCUUUCAAGAUGACCUCACCCACAUAUCCAGCCACAUCCGAGAAUCCUGGAACUUUGUCUAUGAUGAUUUAUCCGGCCAUCAGCACGGAAUGGAUGUCGCUGGUGGUGCGAAGGGUGAUGUUUCUCUCACUCUGGGCCUCCACCAAAACAAUGGUGUUUGCUUAGCAGAGCCGCUUCCUAUGAAUGUCGUUCGCCGUUUUGGCCUUGAAGACUACAGUGAUCCUUAUGUCAUGGGUGCAUUUGAGGGACAAGAUCGACACUUCGGAAAGGAUACCUGGCGGGCACUUCCUUCAUGAUUUGUCGGAUGAAGUGCUCACGAAGUUUACAAAAACUGAAGCAGCUGAUGAUGAGCUAUCAUGUUAACAUCAAUGUACCCAACAUCUCAUCCGGACUCUGUGUGACAUGAAUUUCCAAUCAGAAAUUUGGAAGGUGGUUCUUCAUGAAGUGUCGAGGUAUGUAGAUCUAUUUGUUUUUCCCUACGUGUUAUAUAUAUUCUUCUAUAGACACUCGCCAACUUUAUUUUUAUGUACAGAACGACAGUGCAAGUUGGCCAAGUUGCCGUUUGAGAUGGCUGGGAAUAGUUGCUGAUUGGAAUACAGAAAACAAUGAUGGUCUACCUUGAUUGUAGAGCAUGAGCUGUGUACAUUAAUUGACCUGCAAGCUUAGGCUGCAAGUAAAUCAUUUUAACAAAUGCUUGUGUUUAGCUGGCUAGAAUUAUGGAUUGGAACGUAGGAGCCCAUUUGCCCCAUCUAGGGGAUGCAGGCUCGGCUGUGAAAUGGAGUUUCGUGCUUGUGUCCAGCCAAGACGGAUCUCGGAUGGAUUAUAGGAGCUAAGUUGUAGUCUUCACUGAAACCCAUGUCAAACGGAUCUAUCGUUGAUAUUGGUGUCUCUUUUAAUUUAGUUCUUCCGAGCAGUCGGAAUUUAAUACUCCGUGGGGCGAGCAUUUAAAGUCCUUUAAUCGCUAAGUUGUAUGGAAAAAAAUCCAUUACUCUAAGCCCUGUUUGAUAUUAUUAAUCUGCGGCAGGGCUGCGUCGACGUCAGUGUUAUUUAAUGGGGAUAAUGGGGCAAAUUGGUGUGGGAGAAGGUAGAUGCAGCGGAUCCUGGCUUCUGAGUUGCGCCAAGAGCAAAUAUUUUGGACAAUUUCGUGGCCAACGUGUAGCCGUCUCGGAAAUGACAUGCUCCGUGAGGAACGGGUGCCUUUCUUGGAAAUGACAGCACUGUUCGUGAUGUAACUAAGGAAUGGGACUCAUAGAUGUAGUUCUUUUUUUUUUUUUUUUCAAUCCUCUCUCAUUGUNNNNNNNNNNNNNNNNNNNNAAUCCUCUCUCAUUGUGCCCCAUGGCUUUUUCCGGACGCUGUCAGCGCUUCCACCGCGGCCUAUAUUUAUCUGGCACUUUUAGUCCUCGUUACAGUUAGGCGACAGAGUGCAGCCACCAAGAUUUAGAAUAAGAACUGCUAUAAUAUGGUUAUAAUAAUAAUUGGAAAAAGAAAAGGAUAAUGAGCGUUAUAACUAGUUUGUACUUUGUAAAUGGACGUAUUUAGAAAAUGAGAAUUUCACUCGUAUCCAACGGGGUAUCCGCGCUCGGGGCAGAUGGAGGAGUCCAUCUGUAUCUAAAUUCGCCACUGGCUUCUCUCACUCGUGGCAAGACUUUUGAUCGUAAGCAGAAGCAGGGCUGGUAGUCUGCCACAGUUAAUCCAAUGUAGAAGUAUGUGUUUUGAGAUUGGUGGAGAGGUUUUUCAAGUGUGGAAUUAGAUGUACAGUCGUUACCUUCUGCUUUAGUUAUACUGCGAAUUAACGUUAUAGACCAUGUUAUGCUUGCUUGGUACGACAUGCUCUCAUUUUUUUUAAAAUACUUUUUUUUUGUAUUUGAUCAUGGUUUAGAUUGAUCAAAAAGUAGCUAGAUUCUUUUUCAUGCCGAGAAUUUUAAAUUUGUUGAGUGAUUUAUAGGAAUGAAAUUAUAAAAAGAAAUGAAGGAUGCGAUUUAUGUAAUUUGGUCAAGAACGAUGUUGAUACAAUGUGGUAAAAGAAUGAAUCAAAUGACAAGAGAGGGUUAGAAUCAUAAGUCAUUUCUGCUCGCUUUCUUUACAAUAAAAAAAUAUUCAUUAUCAACUUCACUGAUCAUCCGAGCUUGACGACAGCAAAUAAGUUGAACCAUCAAUUUAUGGUUUCCUUGGUGUUUUUGCUAAAAUAGAUUAGACCUUCAUUAUGAGUCUCUUGAUAUUUAUGUGAGUGUAUGUUGAAUCUUCGACGAAAUUAAAAUUGCAUUUAUUGGUGGUUGGAAGACCUCACCGUCAAGAGAUUUUGGAUUCCAAAAAUUUUAGGAAGGGAUCAUCAAACCAUGUACUUCAUAGAAUUGCAGUACGAAAGAAAAUCACAUAGAUAGUGGCAUUGAAUGAAAAGAAGCUCUUUAGAUAUGUAUUAUUAUACGCCAUAUUUUGGAUUGUGCCAAUUGAACAUGGUCGAGACUAACUUGAUAUAAGGAAAAAAAAAGGAAAAACGAGAAAACUUAUUAGACAUCACUCAAACAGCUAUUCGAUUUGCCGCAUGAAACAAUACUCUAAUCGGUGAGUCAAGUAGAUCAUUUAUCAUAAAUCAGUAAAGUUUUUUAAUACAUAAUACAAGCUUUUUAUGGUGACAAGUUAUUUGUGAAAAGAGAGUGUUUGUUAUACAAUCAUAUACAACAGCAAUAUUUGUGAGGCCCAACUCUUGGCAGACCAAGUCCAUAAAUGGUCUAUUUUUGAGACGACCCAAGCCCCUAGAGGAAGAGAAAAAGAAAAAGAACUCAGUUGAGUGCAUACCUAGCUAGAAUGUGCCUAGCUAGAGGAAGACUCCUAAUGGGAGACUUCUUCCCUGAUUGACUCUUAAUUAGACUCAAAAUCUUAGAGGCAGUCGAACGCUAGGAAAAACCUAGCUCCCACCUCUAUUUAACGGCCUCACUCCCUCCUUCAAGUCUCACCAUCGAAUCACUACUAGCCAUAAUAGAUUUCAUGGUGGAAAUCCCUCGAUUUCAUCGGCGAUCUUCUUGCCAACCCGAUCACAAAAGCUUGAUGAAGAUGAGGUAAGUGCCCCUACUCUUCUUUCAUCCACCAUCUAUAAGGUUUCCGGCAAACAAUCACUGAAAUUAAGCUGAGCACUAGACCCUUAUUUUUUGCCACACUUUAGAUCCUAUUUUCUUAGUUUUUCACACCGAUUGCUUGCGGCCUUUGGUCUUCACCACCAUCCAAGCCUAGGUUUCUCCUUCUUUUUCUGAUUCUUAGCCAAAUCAUUUGACUCUAUUCAGUCCUUUUUCUUAGACCGAUUCCAUGCUUGUUUUACGCUAGUCGUUGCCACCGUCACCAUGCAACAUUCACCAGAAGCCAAACUUUGACUAAUAGCUCACCGCCACCACUAUCGAGCCACUGCACCUCUUCCUCUAAUUUUUUUAAGGGCACAUUUUUUUUCUUCUUUUCUCUCCCCUCUCUUCUUUCUAUUUCUCUCUCUAUAGGAAUCUACGGACCCUACUAAAGAGUCCUAACCUCCUCUGUGGACCUCUGGUCAACCCUCAAUGAAGAGGUUCUGAACAGUCCUAAUGGUGCCCUUGCCAGCCACCACUAGACUCCAUCAACAAUCUCUAUUUGAGCUAUCUCUACCCUAGUAUGACUCUUGGUUUAUAGUUUGACCGGUUAGAUUGCCUAAAUUCGACAGCCCAGGCUGUCAAACUCCAAAAUCAACAUUAUGAAUAGCACAGAGUCUCCCAAAAUUUGCCGGCGAAGAAGGUUUUGCUGCACUCGGCAAUUCUAAACUAUAACAUUCAUAAAGAAGAAAUAACAACAAAUUCCUCGGCAAUUCCUUCAACCACUUGAGUGCCUGCCUCAAAAGAUUGCCCCUCGUCAAUCUUUGCUGCCUCAGAAGAAGGAUGGGAAGAUAUCUCCGGGCCUUAUAAAGCAUCUUCCUUCUCGUUGGUGUGAACUUGAACUCCCGAUCAUCCUUCGUAUGAACUUUGUUUUAGCUUUGCCAAGGACCGUCUCCUGCAGCUUCGAAUAAGAGACUAUAACCAGGAGAGGCCCAAUGUAUUUGGGGGCCUAAGGUUGUUUUGUCUUUGAGGCAUUUCUGCAGUGGGCCAAUCUAAAGCUAACUCACACAGGAACCUUUUUCCUUUUCAUUUUGUCUUUGAGCCCUUUUCUGCGGUGGGCCUUCUUUGGGCCGGGGCCUUAGACGACCACCUCAAUUGCCUAAGAGUGGGCCGGCUCUGUCUAUGAUGCUUGCCCAUGGUUGGAGGCUGGGAUCCAUUCGGAGAUGCGCCUGAACGAGGAAGAUGGAGACAUCACACUCCUCUCUGAGGAUGAGCUAGCGACUCUUGCUGACAUGUGCAUCCCUAAUUUUUGCCUGCCGUUUUGCUCCAGAAGUGAUUAUUGGUUAGACUAGAUUCACUAUUUACCUGAUGCACCAAUCCAACCAUGGAGCAACACACAUGCAUUUCGUACAUGUUGCUCCAGUAGAUUUGGUUCAACAAAAAACAAAAUUAUACCGGUGCCAUUUAAUUUUGACUUUUCCCAUACUAGUCCUCCUCCGUUUGUUCCAAGUUUCCUACUUCAUUAAGUCUCCAUAGUUUCUAUGGAUGAAUCACAAUCUUGGUAAACUUCUGGUUGCUUUCCAAGUUUAUGACCCAACCAUGUUAAAUCGGGACUAUUGUUCCAAAAGUGUUUGAAACCCAUCCACCAUCCAUGGUAACUGGCCCACCGGUCAACCUGCCCCACUCCCAUAUUUCCGACUCCCACAGUUCACCCUGGGCCCGAGACCCCGAGUGCUCGCUGACGGUCACAUCAAAAGACCAACAGUCCCGUCCACGAAUCGUAAUCUUCCACGUCAUGCGGCUCAGAAAAGAGACUGCCCCCGAGAUGGAACACCGCAUCUUCCGGUCUUCAGGGAUACUCUUCAUCCUGACCGUGCAAUCCGGGGAGCGUGAUCACGAUAGGCAACACACCCAAACAAAAACGCUAACUGAAAAGGAAAAUAAUAAUUAUAAUAAUUGGGAAGGGAAGGGAAGAGUCCCACUCGGACGCUGCAUCCUUUCCAGCUUCGAAUUCCUCGCCCAAAAACCUAUAUAUGAAGCAAACGAAGACGACGACGCCAGACGCGCCGGACACCUUUCUAGGGUUUCUCUAGGAUUUCCACUUCCAUUUCGGCGAUUCCAGGGGGCGAGUCCAAUCCAAAUCUGGAGCCGCUCCGCCUCGUUUCUAGGGUUUCCGAGGUCACAGCGGGAGGAGGACGAGAUCGCAGAUGCAGACGGACGCGCGGAUGAGGGCGGUGGUGGAAGGCGGAGGGCAGAGGGCCCUCGCCGCCGCCCACGGAGUCGCCGUGGAGGGCGGGAUCCGGCGGUACUCGGCCUCGCACCCCAACCAGCAGAGUGGGCAGCAGGCCCCUCAGCUUCAGCCGCAGAUGGCGCCGGUGGCGAACCUCCUGGCCGGAGGCGUCGCCGGAGCGUUCAGCAAGACCUGCACGGCCCCACUUUCUCGUCUCACUAUUCUAUUUCAGGUCGGUCCCUCUCUUGCCCUCUCUUUCCACUUGUUGGAAGGAGCGUCUUUGAACCAUGUGAAACUGCUCUUAUUUUUCGGUGGAAUUUGAAUUCUUACAAAUUCUUGAAGGCGGCGGUUCUUUUCUUUUCGGUGAAAUUUGAAUUCCUACAAAUUCUUGAAAGCGGUGGUUCCAUGUUUAUUUUCCGUGGUUUUGUUGUUCGUUUUGUACCAAGAAAAGUUUUAAAGUGCGCAAAUUUGAAGCAAGGUGGUGGAACAGGAGCGAUGAAGACCGAAAUACCCUGUUUCGGAUGAAAUUUCCGGCGAUUUGCUGGCUCAAACCUAAGCAAAAGUCUACUCAAACACUAGGAAAGGAAGGGGAAUAAGAUGAGGAACAUUUACCUCGGUCUGGCGAGGUUUUGGCAGCCCUUUCCGACAACGAAUUGUGAGGAGGAGACUCGGAGAAGAAGAGCUUGAAAUUGCGGUGAUUCUCGGCAAUUGGGGUGGAGGAAAUCAAAGGGGGUGGAGAGUUAAAUAGGCAAGAUCCUAAAGUUCGGAUCAAACUUGGAUUGCCCUCGGUGAGUCGCUGACUUCGCCGAAAUCGGAGAGGAAGAAGACUCCCAGCCGGGGUCUUCUUCCCCAACCCCCUCACAUGCCGGAUCGGGUUGGGUCUGGCCUAUUCGAGCCGGCCCACAAGUUGGGCUAGUUGGAGUCGAGCUGGCCUGGCCACUUCGAGCCGGCCCACGAUCCCAAAAUAUCUGGUUAUUGCAUUCUCCCUCUUAAAAUAAUUUGGUCCUCGAAAUUAAUGUACCUGAAGAUUCAAAAAGCUGUGAAUGUUUGACCUUCAUUUCUUCCUCAAGCUCCCAUGCAACCUCUGUUUUUGAAUGAUUAUUCCAUUGUACUUUGACAAAAGGAAUGAUUCGGUACCGUAAUACAUGAUUUUUUCUGUCCACAAUUCGGAUCGAAAGCUCCUCGUAGGUCAAAUCUUCACGUACACUCAACGGUUCAUAUUCUACCAUAAGGAAUGACUAAAUCAAAUUGAGAAGACAUGGGUAAGCACUUCUCUAAGUACGGGCCAAAAUUUGUGCAUGCAAAUUUGACCACCUGUUAUAGUUUCUUGAUGCAAAAUGUCAUGUUUUUUGAGUAAUUACCAAAGUGAAACUAUGUCUAUAGAUGAAUUUUGUACCAAUCAUUAAGUUGAGAAAGAUUUUAGUUCCUAAUUUUCGUUGUACGAUCAAUAUCAGGGAACAUUGUUUAGCUUCAUUUUGGGUAAGUAUUUAGAAUGUUUAGGACUAAUUUUGUCAAGAAAAACCAUUAUGAUUUUCUGUAAAACAAAGUAUCGAAGAACAUCUUCAUAUUUAGGCACACAGAUAGUGCAUGUCUAAGUCACAGGUCACAAUACAAUUAAGGCUUAACAAGGACAAUAAUGCAUUUUGCUUAACUAUGUGUUUCUUUUUUCCCCCCUUUUCUUGAGUGUGCUUCAACUGGGCUAGGUGGUUGGUUGCAAGUUUUAAACUUUAAAUCAUUUUUUUAAAGUCAUCCUACUAAUGUACUUGGGUGGGAUUGUGGGAAACUUUUGUGGUUUCAGAGUUUGUUACCUUCUUAGAGGCAUGACAUAAUUGAUAUCAAAUUGAAAUUGAGCACAACAAUUUAGCAUUUAUGUAUUCACCAUUCCCUGUAAGGGUCCAAGGGUGUGUAGGUAUUGUAUUGUACCAUAUUGAUGGCAGGCUUAUAUUGGUUCCAAACAAAAAAAACAAAAUAUCGCUAAAACGAUAUAUGACUCUAAGACAUGUUAAGGAACAAUUUUCCUUUUUGAGAUAUAGC
rnacentral:lncRNA from 1 species